CACUAGUAGAAAACCACCAAUCAGUCCCGGUUCAUAAGGGCCUUUAGUCCCGGUUCGGGAACCGGGACUAAUGGGUCGUUACUAAUACCUCAACCCAUUAGUCCCGGUUCAAACACGAACCGGGACCAAUGUGCCUCCACGUGGCCCUGUGCGCCGAGCCCAGUCAGGGGGCCUUUGGUCCCGGUUGGUGGCUCCAACCGGGACCAAAAGGCGUCCACGUGUCUGCAUUCCAGUGGCCUGAGUUUCUUUUUGAAAGGAGGGGGGUUGGGGGGUUUUGGGGGGUUUUGGGGGGUUAAUUUAGGUGUUUCGUAUAUUGUGUUAGCUAGCUAAUUAAUAGAGAGAAGUGUCCUCUCUUAAUUAUGUCCGUGCUUGCUCGACGCUACGUAGUAUAUAUACAUAAGUGAUCGAGAGAACCAUUCAGUACAGAAGUUCGUCAUGCAUACCGAGAGAAGUGAUCGAUCGACCUCUCCUUCUCCGAGAGAUUGGUCGAACAACAAGUUUUACUGGCUACAUACAUGUACAAUCUAUAUAAGAUCUCUUAAUUACAAACCACUAGCAUUUGAAUUCAAGUUCCACAUGGUAUUCUCCGGCUUUACUGAUGACGUGUUCAAGAAAGAAUCCCGCCAAUUCCUCUUGAAUUGCUUUCAUGCGAUCUGGUUCUAGGAGUUCAUCCCGCAUCUGCCACGUCUAAUUAAUUUGAAGAAGGGGCUUAAUUAAUACAUAUAUAUGAAUGAAACUCAACAGAAAUGAUGGUGUAAUAAAAUGAAAUUGUGAAUAUUAUUGCUUACGCACUUCAUAUUGUCUUCUAGAGUAGCCCCGCUUGUUUUUCAAUGUCGCGUUGUGGAUGAACUCGCACACGUAGUAUCCACAGAAAUCAUUCCCUUCCUCCUGCCACAAGCACUUUACGAGAAAUAGAGGUCAAUCAAACUGAUAAUGAAGCAUUAUAUAAAUGGCAUUGAUGAAAGUAUAGCUAUAGAAUCAAUGGGAGAUGCGCGCCAGUAGUACUUACUUUCGGGUAUGUAUAUCGCAGCUCCUUCGGCAGUCCCGGAGCUUGUGCGGUGAAAUGUUUCCAAACCCUGCAAGACAAAGAAAAUAUUUGUUAUUACUUGAGAUAUCAGGAAAUGAACAAAAAGUUGCCGAUAUGGUGCGAUAAUGAUCGAUUGAACUUACUUGCUGAGCAUUUCAGUCAUGUCCGCAUAGGUGUUGGGAUCUUUCCGUCUGGAGUCUAAGACGGUUACUAGUCCACGCUCAAGCUUAAUCUCCAGAAGAAUAUAGUGGUACCUACACGCAUGCAUAACUCAUCAAUUACAUUAACCUCGCUCGAGUAAUAAGGAAAACCGAAUAUGCACACGACAGUAACACUCACGGGCCGUGGUAAGGAAAGAGUAUGGUAUCUUUGUUUUGAUUUUUUAUCAAUGAUUGUAGCAAGUUGUCCUCGGCCUCUUCGGCGCGCUUUUUAACCAGAAAAACAUCUAUGAUAUUUGUGUUAAUGAACCCAAUAUCAUAGAUUUCAUUUUUUUUGCACUCGACGAUCUUCAAUCUGCAUAAUAUAUUGAGGAUAAUUAAUUAUAAAUACAUGCAAUGAAAGAGCCGAGCUAUAUAUACAGACUAAUAACAGAAAUAGUACUUACAGGCAGUAGAAAAAGACCAUUAAUUUAUCGAGGGCCUUUUGAUUGAAGAACUCGAAGAACUCCUCAAAUGGAAUAGACAACAGAUCAUUUGAAACGAGGUCGUGCUCCUCUUUAAUUUUCAGAUACAAAGUGUUCGUCCCCUCAGACUCUCUGCAGGUUUUCAUGUACCAACUGUGGAAUCUUCGCAUCAUUGUUGUCAGAGACUUUUCAUCUUUGACGAGAGGCUUCCCGUACUCGUAUCUGAAUAAGUCCACCUCCAUGAAAUCAGGAAGUGCAUCGUCAGGCAGGUAAUCUUCAAGAUUGCCAUAACCGGCCACCGUCCCCGGAGGAUUAGACACAUUCAGCGGGGGGCACGAUUGCUGUGCUUGUUCGCCGAGCUGGGCAAUUUUUUUCCCCUUUGCCCGUUGUUCUUUUAACCUUUUAUCAGUGACAGUAGUUCCCGACCGCUUGGCUUGGAGAUAUGUCUGUUCAGUAAUGCGCUCAUAGUUGGUUCUCGGCGGAGACUUUGGUGGUUUCCUCAGGGCAUCGAGAGUGUGCUUUGCUUUCACCGGAUCGACCUUCUCCUCCGGAGGUGGAUGUAUCUUUGCUUUAACCCCUUCAAAGAACUCCUUCACUUGGGUCUGCACGAUCGUAUCGUUUUCCUCCUUGCUCCUCUCAUACGGUAACUUCUCUACAGGCUUUAGAGGUGGACCGUAUCUGUAUUGCCUCUCUCUUCUUGUGCUGCUAGACGCCGGAGCAGACGGAGCGGCUGCGGCGUCUGUCUUCCUUCGUGCUUGCUUACGAGGCGGAGGAGAAGGACUAUGACGCGUCGGAGCAGCCGGGGCGGCGGCGGGUCUCUUCCGCCCUUGCUGGCGAGGCGGAGAAGGAGGAGGCGGAGUGCCGCCACGCGCCGGAGAAGGGGGCGGAGUGCCGCCACGCGUGCCCUGAUCUUCACUCGCCGGAGGAGGAGGCGGUGGAGGAGGCGGAGUGCCGCCAUGCGUGCCCUGAUCGUCACUCGCCGGAGGAGGAGGCGGUGGAGGAGGCGGAGUGCCCUGACUCGCCAGAUGAGGAGGAGGAGGCGGAGGCGUCCAGUUCAGAAGGUCGAUGAGCUCCUUCCGCCAUAGGCAUGGAGUCUUCAGAGCAGAACCCAGCCUAGUCUCCCCUUCACCGGUAGGGUGCUCAAGCGCGAGGUCCUCAAAUCCCUCCGUUAUUUCAUCAACCAUCACCUUAGCAAAUCCUUCUGGAAUCGGCUGGCAGUGAUAAGUUGUGCCGGGUCCACUAGGAUAAACUUGGCCAACAGCCGCCUUGACCUUCAAAUUCAUGCAUCGCGCCAUAAUGUGGCAAUUUUGAGACUCCGUGAUACCAUCCACGGGAUAGCUGGCAGGAGCCGUCAAGACAUGCUCCGGCUGAAGCAGCUCGGUGGAAGCAACGCUGCUUCUGCGCUGAGAUGGCGGGGUAGCUUCGGGGGAAGCUUCGGCAUGUCGUUUGUUGCGAUCUGCUGCUUCUCGUUCCUCUUCUCGAUCCUCUAGCCCCAUUACCCUUCCAAGCAGCGCCUGCAUUUGGUCAUGCUCCACUUUCUUCCUCCUCUCGUGGGUUUUGUAACCCCCUGCGUCCGGAAAACCAACCUUCCACGGAAGCGAGCCUGGCGUGCCUCGUGUCCGUCCAGGGUGCUCGGGAUUCCCAAGGGCCAUUGUGAGCUCGUCCUUCUCCCUGUUUGGAAGGAACAUCCCUCGCUGCGCAGCAUCAAUAUAUUGUCGAAGUUUCUUGACUGGUGUUUGCAGUUGCUCGUUCGUCCACUGACACUGUCCUGUUACAGGGUCCAAGGUUCCGCCAGCCCCGAAGAACCAAGUCCGGCAACGGUCUGGCCAGCGCAUCGUCUCUGGUUCGAUCCCUUUUUCAAGCAGAUCAUGCUCAGCCUUGGACCACUUAGGCCGGGCUUUGAGGUAGCCACCUGACCCCGUGCGAUGGUGAAGCGUCUUCUUCGCAGCAUUUUUCUUGUUUGUCUCCGACAUCUUCUUACUCUUUUCCGAUGUCUUGUGGGCCACAAAUGCGGGCCAGUGAUCUUUGAUCUUCUCAUAUUUGCCGAUGAAUUCUGGUGUCUCUUUUUUCUUGACAAACUGGUUCAGCUCUUUCCUCCACCUCCUCAUUAGGCCAGCCAUCUUCUUAAGAGCACAAGACUUGAUUAAUUGCUCUUUAACUGGCUUCUCCGGAUCCUCCUCUGGCGGUAGGGUGAAAUUUGCCUUCAGCUCAUUCCAAAGAUCUUCUUUCUGCAUAUCAUUGACAUAAGACACCUCAGCGACUUCAUCCUUAGCAGGCUUAUACCAUUGCUGGAUGCUGAUCGGGAUCCUGUCCCUAACAAGAACCCCGCACUGAGCAGAAAAUGCCUUCUUUGUCCGGAUGGGUUCAAUCGGUUCGCCGUCGGGCGCGAUUUCUAUGAUCUCAAACUUUUCAUCCGAGCUCAACUUUUUCUUCGGGCCUCGUCUCCUUACCGAAGUUGUGCUCGAUCCGGAGGGCUAGAAAUUAUAAGGAAGAAAGACGACAGUACUUAAUAUGUGUACAUAUACCAAAACAAUGGAUGCAUCAAUUAACUUGUCAGCACGGGCUUAACUAAUAUAUAUAUACCUGGCCGGACUCGGUUCGGUGACUCGGCUCGGCACAGUCUCCUUCGUCUUGUACCUCCAUUGUGUCACCGGAGCCAUCAUGAACAUAGUCCUCCUCUUGUGCCGGCAUUAAUGAGUCGAAGCCAUCAUAAUCAUAGCCCUCUUCUUCAUCCAUCUGACCAACGGUGUCGAUGAGAAAUGACACAACAUCAUCACUUCCAUUUGCGAUUAUUUCCCCCAACAUCGCUUCUGUUUCUUCGUCUCGGGAGUGCUCCAUAGUUUCUGCAAAUAUUGACAACAUGUCAAUUAUUAUUCAAACAUGGUACAUACUGCCAAACCUAGAACUAGCUAGCUAAUCACAAUAAGGAAUCAUGUUAGUGGCAUCGACGCUGCUUCUCUAGGGUUUGGGGUCGCCUCGACACAAAGCUUCAAGGGUUUGGGGUGGCCUCGACGAUAACGCUCUUUUAACUUGAUAAAUUUGGGUGGCCUCGAUCGAGAGAGUUAAUUUGUCGGGUAGGAGCGCAGCGGGAGGGGGUACGUAGGAGACCUGCAACAUCGUUUUCUCUCUAGGGUUUGGGCGUCCUCGAGAGUUUUGGUCGAGCGAGAGGGCCGAGGGGGGUGCUGCAGUUGUAUCUAGAGGGGGUUAAUUAUAUCGACAACGACGCGACAUACAUAUACAUAUCGGGGAGGGGGUAUCGGUACCACCCCCUCGUGUUGAAGUUUCUUCUUUCUCCUUUCCUUUCUUUCUUCUUCUCCUCUUCUUUUUCUUCUUCUCCCUCGAGAAAGGAAAAUAAUUAAGGAAAAGGAAGAAAAGAGGAAGAAGGAAGAAGGAAGAAGAAGAAGAAGUAAAAGAAGAAAAAAAAGAGGAGAAGAAGAAAGGAAUAGAGGAGAAGAAGAAAAAAUAGAAUUUCUCCUUUCUCCUCUAUUCCUUUCUUCUUCUCCUCUUCUUUUUCUUCUUUUUUCCUCUUCUUAUUUAUUUCUCCUCUUCUUCCUCUCCUCUUUUUCUCCUUUCUUCCUCUUCUUAUUUUCCUUUUCCCUCUCAUUCUUUUAGUAUUGCUUGUUUUAAAAAAAAUGUUCAAAUAGAAAAUUCCAAAAAAAAAACAAAGGUUUUGCCUAAUGCAUUGUUCAUAUGAAUAUACCAACAUUUGCAUAUUCUACAAUAAUUAAUAUCAACAAAAAAAUCUAUGAACAGAAAAAAAAACGAACUUUUCUAAAAAUCUAUCUUUUGCAUAUAUAUAGCCACAUAUGAACAGAGCCGCAUAUAUACANNNNNNNNNNNNNNNNNNNNNNNNNNNNNNNNNNNNNNNNNNNNNNNNNNNNNNNNNNNNNNNNNNNNNNNNNNNNNNNNNNNNNNNNNNNNNNNNNNNNNNNNNNNNNNNNNNNNNNNNNNNNNNNNNNNNNNNNNNNNNNNNNNNNNNNNNNNNNNNNNNNNNNNNNNNNNNNNNNNNNNNNNNNNNNNNNNNNNNNNNNNNNNNNNNNNNNNNNNNNNNNNNNNNNNNNNNNNNNNNNNNNNNNNNNNNNNNNNNNNNNNNNNNNNNNNNNNNNNNNNNNNNNNNNNNNNNNNNNNNNNNNNNNNNNNNNNNNNNNNNNNNNNNNNNNNNNNNNNNNNNNNNNNNNNNNNNNNNNNNNNNNNNNNNNNNNNNNNNNNNNNNNNNNNNNNNNNNNNNNNNNNNNNNNNNNNNNNNNNNNNNNNNNNNNNNNNNNNNNNNNNNNNNNNNNNNNNNNNNNNNNNNNNNNNNNNNNNNNNNNNNNNNNNNNNNNNNNNNNNNNNNNNNNNNNNNNNNNNNNNNNNNNNNNNNNNNNNNNNNNNNNNNNNNNNNNNNNNNNNNNNNNNNNNNNNNNNNNNNNNNNNNNNNNNNNNNNNNNNNNNNNNNNNNNNNNNNNNNNNNNNNNNNNNNNNNNNNNNNNNNNNNNNNNNNNNNNNNNNNNNNNNNNNNNNNNNNNNNNNNNNNNNNNNNNNNNNNNNNNNNNNNNNNNNNNNNNNNNNNNNNNNNNNNNNNNUGUGGCGAUGAACUGCAAAACUGCAAAAUGCCACUUAUAUACAAGGAGCAUUGGUCCCGGUUGGUGGCACCAACCGUGACUAAUGCCACCUUUAGUCCCGGUUGGAGCCACCAACCGGGACCAAAAGCCUCAAUUUCGGCAGCCCAAAGGGCGGGAAGCUGCGGCCUUUGGUCCCGGUUGGUGGCUCUAACCGGGACUAAAGCCCCCCCUUUAGUCCCGGUUGGUGCCACCAACUGGGACCAAAGGCCCCUGCGCUGCCCGCGUCGGGGCCAAAGUUUAGUCCCACCUCGCUAGUUGAGAGGGGAGCGCAGUGGUUUAUAAGCCCCACUGCCGCUCCCCUCUUGAACUCCUUUGUACUGCAGGCUUAUGGGCCUACUUGCUACUUCGUUGCCUGUUGGACCUUCUGGGCCUUCUGCGGGCCUGAAUCCUGGCCCGAAAUAGGGAUACAAGUCGUAUUCAGGCCGUGGCGGCCCAGUAGGUGGCAUUUUUUUUCUUACUUUAUUUAAUUUAUUUUGUUUCUACUUACAACAAAAUACUUAUUGUUGUUUUUUUGUUUUGUUUUCUGCAUUAUUUAUUUUCUUUUGUUUUUUCUCUAUUUUUUAAAUCUUUUUGCUUCUAGUUUUAGGAAAAUUAUAAACUUUCUGUUAGUGCCAUUACUAAUUUUCAAAUUUGAAAACACUUUUUUUUUGUUUUCUUUCUUGCUUUAUUUAAUUUAUUUUGUUUCUACUUACAACAAAAUACUUAUUGUUGUUUGUUUGUUUUGUUUUCUGCAUUANNNNNNNNNNNNNNNNNNNNNNNNNNNNNNNNNNNNNNNNNNNNNNNNNNNNNNNNNNNNNNNNNNNNNNNNNNNNNNNNNNNNNNNNNNNNNNNNNNNNNNNNNNNNNNNNNNNNNNNNNNNNNNNNNNNNNNNNNNNNNNNNNNNNNNNNNNNNNNNNNNNNNNNNNNNNNNNNNNNNNNNNNNNNNNNNNNNNNNNNNNNNNNNNNNNNNNNNNNNNNNNNNNNNNNNNNNNNNNNNNNNNNNNNNNNNNNNNNNUGCAUUAUUUAUUUUCUUUUGUUUUUUGCUUUAUUUUUUAAUUCUUUUUGCUUUUAGUUUUAGCAAAAAUUAUAAACUUUCUGUUAGUGCCAUUACUUUUCAAAUUUGAAAACACAUUUUUUUGUUUUCUUUCUUGCUUUAUUUAUUUUAUUUUGUUUCUACUUACAACAAAAUACUUAUUGUUGCUAUUUUUAAUUAUUACGAGGGCCGAACCAUAAGACAUUUCAAAUGAACUCUGAAAAAGUUGAAAGUUGGCAUGGUAUCAUAAAUUGACCCACACAUAGCAUGUGCAUGUACAAAACGAACAAUGGUAUCAUACUCAUCAGUUACAAUGGUAUCAUAAACGAACAAUAGUUGCGGGAGAAAGUCUUCACUUUUUCUUCGCUUGCGUCAUUUGCUUAUUGCGCCGUAACCAUGGAUAAUCUUCAUCGUUUAUCAGGAUGCUGGGGUCAGCCUUGACUUUAAAGGGAGGAAUUUCAUGAAACUUUUCAUAAUCUUCAGACAUGUCUGUCUUGUCCUCCACUCCCACGAUGUCCCUUUUUCCUGAAAGAACUAUGUGGCGCUUUGGCUCAUCGUAUGAUGUAUUUGCUUCCUUAUCUUUUCUCUUUCUCGGUCUACUGGACAUGUCCUUCACAUAGAUAACCUGUGCCACAUCAUUGGCUAGGACGAACGGUUCGUCAGUGUACCCAAGAUUUUUCAAGCGUGCCUUUUCCAGUCAGUCUCCCCUCAUACCGCGAUUUAGGGAGACCUAUCUUCUUAAGGCCAGGAAUGAAGUCAACACAAAACCCGAUGACAUCCUCUGUUUGAUGGCCCAUGGAGAUGCUUCCUUCUGGCCUAGCGCGGUUACGGACAUAUUUCUUUAGGACUCCCAUGAACCUCUCAAAGGGGUACAUAUUGUGUAGAAAUACAGGGCCCAGAAUGACAAUCUCGUCAACUAGAUGAACAAGAACGUGUGUCAUGAUAUUGAAGAAGGAUGGUGGGAACACCAGCUCGAAACUGACAAGACAUUGCACCACAUCACUCCUUAGCCUUGGUAUGGUUUCUGGAUCGAUCACCUUCUGAGAUAUUGCAUUGAGGAAUGCACAUAGCUUCACAAUGGCUAAUCGGACGUUUUCCGGUAGAAGCCCCCUCAAUGCAACCGGAAGCAGUUGCGUCAUAAUCACGUGGCAGUCAUGAGACUUUAGGUUCUGAAACUUUUUCUCUGCCAUAUUUAUUAUUCCUUUUAUAUUCGACGAGAAGCCAGUCGGGACCUUCAUACUAAGCAGGCAUUCAAAGAAGAUUUCCUUCUCUUCUUUGGUAAGAGCAUAGCUGGCAGGACCUUCAUACUGCUUUGGAGGCAUGCCGUCUUUUUCGUGCAAACGUUGCAGGUCCUCUCGUGCCUCAGCUGUAUCUUUUGUCUUCCCAUACACGCCCAAGAAGCCUAGCAGGUUCACGCAAAGGUUCUUCGUCACGUGCAUCACGUCGAUCGAAGAGCGGACCUCUAGGUCUUUCCAGUAGGGUAGGUCCCAAAAUAUAGAUUUCUUCUUCCACAUGGGUGCGUGUCCCUCAGCGUCACUCGGAACAGCUAGUCCGCCGGGACCCUUUCCAAAGAUUACGUGUAAAUCAUUGACCAUAGCAAGUACGUGAUCACCGGUACGCAUGGCGAGCUUCUUCCGGUGAUCUGCCUCGCCUUUGAAAUGCUUGCCUUUCUUUCGACAUUGAUGGUUGGUCGGAAGAAAUCGACGAUGGCCCAGGUACACAUUCUUCCUGCAGCUUGCCAGGUAUAUACUAUCAGUGUCAAGUAAACAGUGCGUGCAUGCGUGGUAUCCCUUGUUUGUCUGUCCUGAAAGGUUACUGAGAGCGGGCCAAUCGUUGAUGGUCACGAACAGCAACGCCUUUAAGUUAAAUUCCUCCUGUUUGUGCUCAUCCCACGUACGUACACCGUUUCCAUUCCACAGCUGUAAAAGUUCUUCAACUAAUGGCCUUAGGUACACAUCAAUGUCAUUGCCGGGUUGCUUAGGACCUUGGAUGAGAACUGGCAUCAUAAUGAACUUCCGCUUCAUGCACAUCCAAGGAGGAAGGUUAUACAUACAUAGAGUCACGGGCCAGGUGCUGUGAUUGCUGCUCUGCUCCCCGAAAGGAUUAACGCCAUCCGCGCUUAAAGCAAACCAUACGUUCCUUGGCUCACUUGCAAACUCAUCCCAGUACUUUCUCUCGAUUUUUCUCCACUGCGACCCGUCAGCCGGUGCUCUCAACUUCCCGUCUUUCUUACGGUCCUCACUGUGCCAUCGCAUCAACUUGGCAUGCUCUCCGUUUCUGAACAGACGUUUCAACCGUGGUAUUAUAGGAGCAUACCACAUCACCUUCACAGGAACCCUCUUCCUGGGGGGCUCGCCGUCAACAUCACCAGGGUCAUCUCGUCUGAUCUUAUACCGUAAUGCACCGCAUACCGGGCAUGCGUUCAGAUCCUUGUACGCACCGGGGUAGAGGAUGCAGUCAUUAGGGCAUGCAUGUAUCUUCUGCACCUCCAAUCCUAGAGGGCAUACGACCUUCUUUGCUGCGUAUGUACUGUCGGGCAAUUCGUUAUCCUUUGGAAGCUUCUUCCUCAAUAUUUUAAGUAGCUUCUCAAAUCCUUUAUCAGGCACAGCAUUCUCUGCCUUCCACUGCAGCAAUUCCAGUACGGUACCUAGCUUUGUGUUGGCAUCUUCGCAAUUGGGGUACAACCCUUUUUUGUGGUCCUCUAGCAUGCGAUCGAACUUCAGCUUCUCUUUUUGACUUUCGCAUUGCGUCCUUGCAUCGACAAUGACCCGGCGGAGAUCAUCAUCAUCGGGCACAUCAUCUGGUUCCUCUUGAUCUUCAGCAGCUUCUCCCGUUGCAGCAUCAUCGUGCACAUCGUCUGGUUCCUCUUGAUCUUCUGGAGCAUCACCGUAUUCAGGGGGCACAUAGUUGUCAUCGUACUCUUCUUCUUCGCCGUCUUCCACCAUAACCCCUAUUUCUCCGUGCCUCGUCCAAACAUUAUAGUGUGGCAUGAAACCCUUGUAAAGCAGGUGGGUGUGCAGGAUUUUCCGGUCAGAGUAAGACUUCGUAUUCCCACAUAUAGGGCAUGGACAACACAUAAAACCAUUCUGCUUGUUUGCCUCAGCCACUUCGAGAAAAUUAUGCACGCCCUUAAUGUACUCGGAGGUGUGUCUUGAACCGUACAUCCAUUGCCGGUUCAUCUGUGUGCAUUAUAUAUAAUUAAGUGUGUCAAAAAUCAUUAGAGAGAUCAUGAAUAGAUAAUUAAUUAAGUGACCAAAUUAAUAGAAGUUCAUCAUCACAUUAAAACCAAAGUACAUACAUAGUUCUCAUCUAACAACAUAAAUCUCUGCAGAGCAUCUAAAUUAAUUAAACCAUACACUGAAACUAUGUAAAACAUUUCAAUGCGAAAACAAAUGCGAUCAUAAUCAUAACCAAUGUAACAACUGAUCCAACGACAUAAUGAUACCAAGCCUCGGUAUGAAUGGCAUAUUUUCUAAUCUUUCCAAUCUUCAAGCGCAUUGCAUCCAUCUUGAUCUUGUGAUCAUCGACGACAUCCGCAACAUGCAACUCCAAUAUCAUCUUCUCCUCCUCAAUUUUUCUAAUUUUUUCCUUCAACAAAUUGUUUUCUUCUUCAACUAAAUUUAACCUCUCGACAAUAGGGUCGGUUGGAAUUUCCGGUUCAACAACCUCCUAGAUGAAUAAAAUCUAUGUCACGUUGGUCGGCAUAAUUGUCAUAAAUAAUAAAUGAACCAAUAGUUAUGAAAAGAUAAUAUAUACCACAUCCGAAUCAUAGACAGGACGAGGGCCGACGGGGGCGGAUACCAAAACCAUCGCACUAUAUAAGAUGCAAUAAUAAAAGUAAGAAAAUUAUACAAGUAUAUAUCUAUCUAAACAUACAAAUAAGAAUAUUUUUCCUUUCGGAAAUAAGAUAAGAACAAGAGGCUCACCACGGUGGUGCCGCCAAUGAGAUCGGUGCGGGUGAUCGACGACGUUGAAGACGGGGAUGGGGCGUGACGGACCGCUAAACCUAGACAAAUAUGGAGGAAAAUGGAGCUUGACGGUCGAGCUUGGAGAGGAGAAACCUUAAGUAGUGUGGCUCGGGCAUUCCAUCGAACACCUUGUGUGCAUAUGAGGUGAGCUAGAGCACCACCAAGCCCUCUCCCCCUCGGCCAGAAAAAACAGAGCAGUGUGCUCUGCUCUUGCGCGAGGGGGUAUAUAUAGGCACCACCAUUGGUCCUGGUUGGUCGCACGAACCGGGACUAAAGGGUUGCCUUUGGUCCCGGUUCAUGCCACCAACCGGGACCAAUGGUGGUGGGCCAGGAGCGAGGACCAUUGGUCCCGGUUCAUCCCACCAACCGGGACCAAAAGGUCCAGACGAACCGGGACCAAUGGCCCACGUGGCCCGGCCGGCCCCCGGGGCUCAUGAACCGGGUCCGAUGCCCCCAUUGGUCCCGGUUCUGGAUUGAACCGGGACUAAUGGGCUGGACCGGCCUGGACCAUUGCCCCCUUUUCUACUAGUGCCUGUACAGGAAAAAAAUCGGACAAAGUAAUUGGUUGAACGCAUACCUUAGGCAAAGGCCCUUUCCAUGGUCGGAUCGCCGUCGCCGCCGUCCUCCGGUGUACAAUCCGGCUAACCACCUCCACUCGAUCGGUAGAAUGCAGACCUAGCCGCGCCGGAUCAUCUCCCGGCACGAUUUCAUCUACCAACGCAGCAACAUCUUCCUCCGAAUAUCCAGGAUUGAACGCCUCGCAGAUCACGUCCGAUGGUGUUGGCGAAUACUCCGGCACCGGAUCGUCUUCGUCCUCCUCAUCUUCCGAGUCCGCUAGCGCCCAGAAUCGACCCCCCACCCGAGCUUCGAUCAUAUCCGGUGACUUCCGUCGGUGGCCGGCGACGGUCGCCCCGGGAUCGCGGCGAGUCGCCCCUUUAAAAUGGAAACAUCUACGUGCACACAUAGGAAACACCUGCACCUUCCUUUAAUUCCUCCUCCUUUCCUAUUCCUCUCCGCUGGCCAUCUCCCCAACGAACGCCUCGUCUCCUUCCCUUCCUCUUUACGCUAGCACCUACGGGAAGAUAAACGUACACGAAGAGAAACUGCCAAGCACUCACGCAAGAAGCUGCCUCCUGUCCUCCUCCAUAAUUCCCAUAAGUGUCCACCGUUUCCAAAACUGAAGGUACAGGGACCUGCACCUCAAUCUCCUCCCUCGUUUCCCUUGGCCCUCUGCCAUCUCUCUUCUCCAUCCUGCCAGAGAACUCCUCUCAAAGAAACAGUGUUCCAUGGACGUCGGUCCUCGAUUCUGAUGAAGGAGACCAUCCCAGUCCAUGCCCUUGCGCCAAAAGGUUCUCCUUCAUGCGUUGAAUCCAUUCAGGGAAGAAAGAACAUGGUCCGUCAAGCACACACGAAGAAUUCUGCAUGUCCGCGUACACUGUUCAUCAAGUUCGUCGCACCAUUCCAUCAAACUCGGUGUGCCUCUAUCAAAUUUCUUUUGCACGCAUACUCAUCAUCAUCUACUCUAUCUCAUAGACAUGAUCAUUCGACUCAUCUAUGUCGUUGCUCGCGCCGAUGCCAUCGGCAUGUCCGCGUACUUUUUAGUUCAUCGGAUAAUCUUGUGUUCAACAUAUGAUUUGUUUCUCGUACCCGUAGUAUCCCCAUGGUGGAGUUAGAUCGCUAGUUUUAUCAAUAGGAUUUUAGUAUACAUUUUGUUAUAGCCAUUCUUGCCCAAGAUUGAAUGGAGUUUGUUCGUCGGCUAAAUUUUAUAUUAAUUUGUUAUUGUUCUUAUGUUUGCGAUAUGCCUAGAAGUGCAUCCUAGUGGUCUCAUAAUUUUUGCGUGUGAUAAAUGGCUUAUUAGAGUUAUUGUUUAUUGUUUACCGAUUAUAGUUUUUGUUGUCGCAAGUUGAUAAUUUUUUGUAUUGUUAUUGACUUGUGUUAGACAUGUCUAUAGAUAUUGAGUAUAGUCUGAUAUGUUUUUAUGUAGAUAAUUUCUUGUAUCAUGUAGUAGUGUGAGACGCUUUUGUAAUAGCUAUUGUGAAUUAUCAUCACGAGUAGUAGUUGAUCGGUGAACUUUUGUGUUAAUUUUAUAUGUUCGGGAUAUAGUUAGGAGUGUAUGCUAGUUAUCUCAUAAUUUUGUGUGUGGCAUGUGACAUGUUAAAUUUAUUGUUUACCGAUUAUAUUUUGUUUAAAAUAAGUUUUGCAUGCUAUUUCCACUUGACAAUUUGGUGUAUUGUGUAUAGUCCUCUUUUAUGCUUGCGUACAACAUUUGGUGAAUGCUCAACAUGCUUAUAUUUAUGUGGAAUUAUUCUAAGUUUUGCUUUAUGUAUCUAAUCGUGAAAUACUUCAUGUUUCAUUUAGUUUAGUUCAUUCACUAGCAUGAAGAUAUCUUAGGUAUAUUUUAUAUAUUGACUUCACCUUUGUUGCAUGUGUAUUUGUCGGCUCUUUUUAUCAUAUCAUGCGAUACUCUAGGUGAUGUUUAUUUAAAUUAUUUGUGUUACCUAGUUUUGCUACUAGUGGUUAUGAAAAGUGGUAUGUUAUCGACCAUAGUCAUAGUACUUGUUGUAGGUCUAUUGUUUGCGUUUAUAUUAUGUGUUAUCAUGCAUGGAGGUCAUUACUUUUGUAGAGUGUGAGGAUUGUGCUUUACAGUUUAGUGCUUCUCAUUUCUUAGAUGUUUGUCAUCCAAGAUUACAUGGUUGGAUACUUCAUGUCAUGGUUAUAUUUGUAUUGCUUUACAUAAUUUAUUUUUGUGGCAUAGAGCAAAGCUUAUAACAUCUUAGUAAUUUUCAUGUGUGUUUAUUUAUCCUUGUUUAUUACCAUGCCAUGUUGGUAAUUGCUUAAAGUAGAAUACAUGGUUUUAUUGUAUGUCCCAAGUGUUGCAACAUUGCUAGUUUGUACUAUAUGGUCACACUUAGGGUUGGCUUUGAAGGAAAUAUGCCCUAGAGGCAAUAAUAAAGUUAUUAUUUAUUUCCUCAUAUCAUGAUAAAUGUUUAUUAUUCAUGCUAGAGUUGUAUUAACCGGAAACAUGAUACAUGUGUGAAUACAUAGACAAACAUAUAGUCACUAGUAUGCCUCUACUUGACUAGCUCAUUAAUCAAAGAUGAUUAUGUUUCCUAACCAUAGACAUGUGUUGUCAUUUGAUUAGUGGGAUCACAUCAUUAGAAGAAUGAUGUGAUUGACAUGACCCAUUCCGUUAGCCUAGCACUUGAUCGUUUAGUAUAUUGCUAUUGCUUUCUUCAUGACUUAUACAAGUUCCUGUAACUAUGAGAAUUAUGCAACUCCCGUUUAUCGGAGGAACACUUUGGAUACUACCAAACGUCACAACCUAACUGGGUGAUUAUAAAGGAGUACUACAGGUGUUUCCGAAGGUACAUGCUGAGUUGGCGUAUUUCGAGAUUAGGUUUUGUCACUUCGAUUGUCGGAGAGGUAUCUCUGGGCCCUCUCGGUAAUGUACAUCACUAUAAGCCUUGCAAGCAAUGUAACCAAUGAGUUGGUUACGGGAUGGUGCAUUACGUAACGAGUAAAGAGACUUGCCGGUAACGAGAUUCAACUAGGUAUUGGAUACCGACGAUCGAAUCUCGGGCAAGUAACAUACCGAUGACAAAGGGAACAACGUAUGUUGUUAUGCGGUUUGACCGAUAAAGAUCUUCGUAGAAUAUGUAGGAACCAAUCUGGGCAUCCAGGUCCCGCUAUUGGUUAUUGACCGAGAAUAGUUCUAGGCCAUGUCUACAUAGUUCUCGAACCCAUAGGGUCCGCAUGCUUAACGUUACGAUGACAAUUUUAUUAUGAGUUUAUAAGUUUUGAUGUACCGAAGCUUGCUCGGAGUCCCGGAUGUGAUCACCGACGUGACGAGGAGUCUCGAAAUGGUCGAGACAUAAAGAUUGAUAUAUUGGACGACUAUAUUCGGACACCGGAAUUGUUCCGGGUGAUUUUGGAGAAAACCGGAGUGCCGGGGGGUUAGCGGAACCCCCCGCGAGAGUAUUGGGCCUUAUGGGCCUUAGGAGAGAGGGGCGACUAGCAUGGGCCGCGCACCCCCUCCCUUCUCUGGUCCGAAUUGGACUAGGAGGGGGGGCGGCGCCCCCCUUUCCUUCCCCUCUCUCCCUUCCUUCCCCCUCCUAGUAGGAGUAGGAAAGGAGGAGUCCUACUCCUACUAGGAGGAGGAUUCCUCCUCCUUGGCGCACCCCAAGGGGCCGGCCGGCCUUCCCCCUUGCUCCUUUAUAUACGGGGGCGGGGGGCACCCCAUAGACACACAAGUUGAUCUACGGAUCAUUCCUUAGCCAUGUGCGGUGCCCCCCUCCACCAUAUUCCAGCUCGGUCAUAUCGUCGUGGAGUUCAGGCGAAGCCCUGCGCCGGUAGAACAUCAUCAUCGUCACCACGCCGUCGUGCUGACGGAACUCAUCUCCGGAGCUUUGCUGGAUCGGAGCCCGGAGAUCGUCAUCGAGCAGAACGUGUGCUGAACUCGGAGGUGUCGUACGUUCGGUGCUUGGAUCGGUCGGAUCGUGAAGACGUACGACUACAUCAACUGCGUUGUGCUAACGCUUCCGCUUACGGUCUACGACGGUACGUGGACAACACUCUCCCCUCUCGUUGCUAUGCCAUCACCAUGAUCUUGCGUCUGCGUAGGAAAUUUUUUGAAAUUACUACAUUCCCCAACAGGCUUUGCUUAGUUGAGAUACAUGAUAGUAGUGUAUGAUUCCAUCUUGCUUGAUCAAUUUGAUACCAUGAUGUUGUGACUAGGUAGGUAGAUGCAUAUUGUGUGUGUCAAAUCAUGUUAUAGAUCAUCCCUAGAUAUGUAGCUUAUGUCAUUACAAGUGUAAAUUGUACUUGAUAGUAAGGCAUGUUGUCUUUGUUAUUCAUGCUAUGAUAUUCAUUGCAUGAUAGUCAUGUUAGUUGAUAUCAACUAAGUUAUCUCAUAGUUAUACUUUGGCAACUCGCGCGAUCAUCAUCCAUGCUUAGCAUUAUAUCUAGUUGUUGCAUUGUUGUAUGUCUAGCCAUAGUCAUGCAAGUGAUCUUUCAUAUCUUAUGAUGUUUCGUGUGUUAUUGUUUCUUAGUGUCGUUCUUCUUAUAGAUGUUUAAAUUUGUUACAUCUUAGUCUUAUGAGUGUUUUAAUAUUUGUUGCUCAGACUCAUACAAUUAGGACGAGUCAUAUGUGAUGGGAGUAGAGUUGUGCUUUGUUCACACACUCAAUGCCUGUAUCAUGCUUUGUUAUUGUAAGCAUGUGGUGAUAAUAUUAUUGCUUUAUUGGUAUUAGUUGUUCCUUAUUAAGACCAUGUCAUAGUUUAGAAUCUUCUCAUGAGCACUUGUAUGUUGAAUGCUUGUGUUAGUUCAUUCAUCUUUAUGAUCGUAUACUCACAUGGCAUGGGUGAGAUGUGUAUUAUUAUUAAGUUGUUUAAUUAGUUGGUACCAUAGUAGCGGUUUGUCUGUUGUUAUAGAAAUGCUUACUAAUAGUUAUGAUUGAGGUUUAGUAUUUGCUUGUUAUUAACCAUUAUAAAUAUUUGAAUUCAGUCAAAUAUUUAUUUUUGGUUGAUUAAUAAUCUUAAUGAUAUCAUGUCUAGGAUAGUUGUUCAUCCAUUGUUCCACGUGUUGUAUAGUUUCUUGUCAAUUGUUUGACUAACGAAUUGUAUUGAUUUGAUGGAGUGGAACCUAUUUUAUUUUCAUAAUGGUUGAGCUAGACCUAGAUCAAUUCAAUUAAUGUUGUUGAAUGAUGUUUGAUUGCUUCAAUAGUAUGUUUUAUAAUGUUGGUUUGGUUGUCGUAUAGAACACUUGUUUUGAGUUAUUAUAGAGUUAAUAUAUAUGUUUGGAUUCGAUUGACCAUUAUGAAUAUUUAGAUUCUUGCUAAAUAUUUGUUUGUGGUUAUCUUUUGCAUUUAUCAUGCCAUGUUUUGUUUGUGUAUAUAAAAUACAUAGGAUGAUUCCAUUAAUUCUAUGCUUGUUGGUGCCAUUGUGUUUGUCAUAUGGUAGUUUCCUAUAUUGUUACUCACGAUGUGUAGUGGGCACUACUAAUUGUCUGAUAGCAUAGUUCUUACUAGAACAUUAGUCUUGAUCACCAAGCCUUCCGUAGCUGUGUCAACCUAAACCUUGUCGUUUAAUCAUCUCUCUUACCUCCCAAUCAUGCUACCUCGUUUUGAAUUUCUAUCUAAUCAAUAUCUUGCUAUCAAUCCACUCUUAUUGUUGUUUUGGAUGUUAUUGGGAUUUUCUAUUUGCUUUGGUAUUUAUUGUUUGUCUUUUGCUAUCGUUAUGACGAGUAGGGAGUGACGAGGUUGGCAUGGACAGAAACAGGUUACUGAAGAAGGACUCGACAACGAAGGCAUGUCUCCUUCUUGAUCAUACUUAUCCGAUGGUUUACCCAAUUGCAUUGAGUUUUCAUUGUUAUUAUAUGCAUGCUAUUUUAAUCUUGUAGCUAGCGUGUCGAUUGACACAUUACCUCGAUCCGCUUGUCGCCUAUUCACUUGACACCUAAGUAGAAGUAUAAGGUUCCGGUAGAGUAGAAAUGCUUAGCCAUGCUUAUCACCCUAUAGGUCCCUUGUUGAAUGACCCCUGAGUCAUUGACAGUUGAAACUUAACGCUGUGCUACGCCCUGUUGGCCCUUGUUGACCUUCUCUAUUCUCUUCUACUCUGGGUGAAACUUACCAUCUGAAUACUAGCGCGGGCGACAGCUGAAUCAAGGAUUGAAGGAGCGAUUGGCUGCCCUUCAUAAAUGAAGGGGGCAAUCAGUCGUUUGUGCCGCAUGAGGCCUAAUAAGUCUUGGAUUUGAAGUUUGUGAUAACAGUACAACCACAUGCUAUACGGGCACUGGCUUGGUUAAUUAGUUAGUUCAUUCUUAUUGUCGUCAUCGCCGUACCGCAGAUGGGACAGCUGCCUUGCAAGGAGUAUCCUCGGCACAAAAGGGGGGCCCGGACUGUGAACUGCGGUUACUCCUGUGUUGAAACCUAGUGGGCUUGGCGCAAUAAGUUUGGUCUUAUGAAAGACCUCGUCACAAUCUCCCUGCCGGUACACCAAAUGGAGUACUAUACCGGCGGCCACUGGUGGCAACAAGUCGGGAUUGUGUCGUGUGGGUAAAGUGUACAACCUCUGCAGAGUGUAAAACUAUUCGAAUAGCCGUGUCCACGGUCAUGGACAACACAUGAAUCUUUCUUGACGUACGGGACCUGUCUUGCUUAUUCCCUCUUUGCCCCUAUUCUUGAAACCUAUGAAGGACGUGAGUUGAUCGAGGAUCCUCACUUGAUGAAAGUUAUUCUGGAGAUAAAACAUGUUUUCCUCUAAAACUGCUUUUAUCCAACUACUUUAUUUGUCAAACAAAAUUAGCUUUAUGCAAAUGAGCCAUACCGCCUUCCUUUGAAGCCACAUUUAGACAUUAGGUCCUUCCCAGUGGGAGGCAUGUUGAGUACGUACUGUACUCAUGGCAAUAAUUUUGUUGACAACAGAGUUCCAUGAAGACGAAGGUGAUGACUAUGACAACUAUGGCGAUCCGUAGGAGUGAGGUCACAUGGACUACAUCGACUGCCUGUGGCUGAGAUGGAGUCGCUACGCAUUGUACUUUCUACUGCUUUCUAAUUGUAAUAAAUGUAAUGAGACAUUUCUCUAUGUAUGCCUUGUGGCAAGAUAUAUUUAAACUUGUAAUACCUUUUAUGCAUUGUGCGAUGAUAUCAUUUCGCUGUGUUGUCAACAAUGAUCCUGGGGUUGGCAAAUAAACACAGGAGGGUCUGGAAGUUAAUUCCGGUUUCUCACAUAUACCCCUCGCCCGCGAGCAGAGUACUCCACUGCUCUGUUUUUCUCUGGCCGGGGAGGGGAGGGCUUUGUGGUGCUCUAGCUCACCUCCGAUGCACAUGAGGUGUUCGAUGAAAUGCCCGAGCCACACUAGUUAAGCUUUCUCCUCUCGAAGCACGACCUCCGAACUCUAUUUUUCCUGAGAUUUGUCUAGGUUUAUAUUAGCGGCCCGUCACGCCCCGUCCCCGUCUUCACUGUCGUCGAUCGCCCGUGCCGAUCUCGUCACCGGCACCACCGUGGUGAGCCUCUUGUUCUUAUAUUCUUUCUGAAAGAGAAAAAUUCUUGCUUUAGAUAGAUACUUGUCUAAUUUUCUUACUAUUUUAUUGCUUGUUAUUAUAUAGUGCGAUGGUUUUGGUAUCCGCCCCCGUCGGCCCUCGUCCUGUCUAUGAUUCGGAUGUGGUAUAUAUUAUCUUUAUAACUAUUGUUUCAUUUAUUGUUUAUGAAAAUUAUGCCGACCAACAUGACAUAGAUUUUAUUUAUCUAGGAGGUAUGUGAACCGGAAAUUCCAACCGACCCUAUUGUCGACAGGUUAAAUUUAGUUGAAGAAGAAAACAAUUUCUUGAAGGAAAAAAUAAAAAAAAUCGAGGAGGAGAAGAUGAUAUUGGAGUUGCAUGUUGCGCAUGUCGUCGAUGAUCACAAGAUCAAGAUGGAUGCAAUGCGCUUGAAGAUUAGAAAGAUUAGAAAAUAUGCCAUUCAUACCGAGGCUUGGUAUCAUUAUGCCGUUGGAUCAAUUGUUACCUUGGUUGCGAUUAUGAUCGCAUUUGUUUUCGCAUUGAAAUGUUUUACAUACUUUCAAUUUAUGGUUUAAUUAAUUUAGAUGCUCUGAAGAGCUUUAUGUUGUUAGAUGAGAACUAUGUAUGUACUUUGGUUUUAAUGUGAUGAUGAACUUUAUUAAUUUGGUCACUUAAUUAUCUAUUCAUGAUGUUCUGUAAUGGUUUUUGACACACUUAAUUAUAUAUAAUGCACGCAGAUAAACUGGCAAUGGAUGUACGGUGACAGACACACCUCCGAGUACAUUAAGGGCGUGCAUGAUUUUCUCGAAGUGGCUGAGGCAAACAAGGAGAAUGGUUUUAUGUGUUGUCCAUGCCCUAAAUGUGGGAAUACAAACUCUUACUCUGACUGGAAAAUCCUUCACACCCACCUGCUUUACAACGGUUUCAUGCCACACUAUAAUGUUUGGACGAGGCACGGAGAAAUAGGGGUUAUGAUGGAAGACGGCGAAGAAGAAGUGGAUGAUGACAACUAUGUGCCCCUGAAUACGGUGAUGCUGCAAUGGGGGAAACUGCUAAAGAUCAAGAGGAACCAGAUGAUGUGCCCAAUGAUGCUGCAACGGGGGAAGCUACUGAAGAUCAAGAGGAACCAGACGAUGUGCCCGAUGAUGAAGAUCUCCGCCGGGUCGUUGUCGAUGCAAGGACAAAAUGCGAAAGUCAAAAGGAGAAGCUGAAGUUCGAUCACAUGUUAGAGGAUCACAAAAAGGGUUGUACCCCAAUUGCGAAGAUGGCAACACAAAGCUCGGUACCGUACUGGAAUUGCUGAAGUGGAAGGCAAAGAAUGAUGUGCCUAACAAAGGAUUUAAGAAGCUACUGAAAAUAUUGAAGAAGAAGCUUCCAAAGGAUAACGAAUUGCCCGACAGUACAUACGCAACAAAGAAGGUCGUAUGCCCUCUAGGAUUGGAGGUGCAGAACAUCCAGGCAUGCCCUAAUGACUGCAUCCUCUACCGCGGUGCGUACAAGGAUCUGAACGCAUGCCCGGUAUGCGGUGCAUUACAGUAUAAGGUAAGACGAGAUGAUCCUGGUGAUGUUGACGGCGAGCCUCCCAGGAAGAGGGUUCCUGCGAAGGUGAUGCGGUAUGCUCCUAUAAUACCACGGUUGAAACGUCUGUUCAGAAACGGAGAGCAUGCCAAGUUGAUGCGAUGGCACAAUGAGGACCGUAAGAAAGACGGGAAGUUGAGAGCACCCGCUGAUGGGUCGCAGUAGAGAAAAAUUGAGAGAAAGUAUUGGGAUGAGUUUGCAAGUGACCCAAGGAACGUAUGAUUUAUUUUAAGCGCGGAUGGCAUUAAUCCUCUCGGGGAGUAGAGCAGCAAUCACAGCACCUGGCCCGUGACUCUAUGUAUGUAUAACCUUCCUCCUUGGAUGUGCAAGCAGAAGUUCAUUAUGAUGCCAGUUCUCAUCCAAGGCCCUAAGCAACCCGACAAUGACAUUGAUGUGUACCUAAGGCCAUUAGUUGAAGAACUUUUACAGAUGUGGAAUGGAAACGGUGUACGUACGUGGGAUGAGCACAAACAGGAGGAAUUUGACCUAAAGGUGUUGCUAUUUGUGACCAUCAAUGAUUGGCCCGCUCUCAGUAACCUUUCAGGACAGACAAACAAGGGAUACCACGCAUGCACGCACUGUUUAGACGACACUGAAAGUAUAUACCAGGACAAAUGCUGGAAGAAUGUGUACCUGGGCCAUCGUCAAUUUCUUCCGACCAACCAUCAAUGUCGAAAGAAAGGCAAGCAUUUCAAAGGCGAGGCAGAUCACCGGAAGAAGCCCACCAUGCGUACCGGUGAUGUACUUACUAUGGUCAACAAUUUACACGUAACCUUUGGAAAGGGUCCAGACGUACUAGCUGUUCCGAAUGACACUGAGGGACACGCACCCAUGUGGAAGAACAAAUCUAUAUUUUGGGACCUACCCUACUGGAAAGACCUAGAGGUCCGCUCUUCAAUCGACGUGAUGCACGCGACGACGAACCUUUGCGUGAACCUACUAGGCUUCUUGGGCGUGUAUGGGAAGACAAAAGAUACACCUGAGGACGGGAGGAUCUGCAACGCUUGCAUGAAAAAGACGGCAUGCCUCUGAAGCAGUAUGAAGGUCCUACCAGCUACGCUCUUACGAAAGAAGAGAAAGAAAUCUUCUUUGAAUGCCUGCUCAGUAUGAAGGUCCCGACUGGCUUCUCGUCGAAUAUAAAGGGAAUAAUAAAUAUGCCAGAGAAAAAGUUCCAGAACCUAAAGUCUCAUGACUGCCAUGUGAUUAUGACACAACUGCUUCCGGUUGCAUUGAGGGGGCUUCUACCGGAAAACGUCCAAUUAGCCAUUGUGAAGCUAUGUGCGUUCCUCAAUUCAAUAUCUCAGAAGGUGAUCGAUCCAGAAAUUGUACCAAGGCUAAGGAGUGAUGUGGCAAAUGUCUUGUUAGUUUCGAGUUGGUGUUCCCACCAUCCUUCUUCAAUAUCAUGACGCACGUCCUAGUUCAUCUAGUCGAUGAGAUUGUUUUUCUGGGGCCCGUAUUUCUACACAAUAUGUUCCCCUUUGAGAGGUUCAUGGGAGUCCUAAAGGAAUAUGUCCGUAACCGCGCUAGGCCAGAAGGAAGCAUCUCCAUGGGCCAUCAAACAGGGGAUGUCAUUGGGUUUUUUGUUGACUUCAUUCCUGGCCUGAAGAAGAUAGGUCUCCCUAAAUCGCGGUAUGAGGGGAGAUUGACUGGAAAAGGCACGCUUGGAGGGGACUCAAUAAUAUGCAGGGACAGAUAUUCUUGGUCUCAAGCACACUACACAGUUCUAUAGAACUGUACCUUGGUGACCCCGUAUGUCGAUGAACACAAGAACAGUCUGCACUCCAAACACCCGGAGCAGUGCGACGACUGGAUUACAUGUGAACACAUCAGGACUUUUAGCAGUUGGUUGGAAACACGUCUCAGAGGUGACAAGACUAUUUGUGAUGAGCUGUACUUGUUGUCCACAGGACCAUCUUUGACUGUAUUGCUUUACAAAGGAUACGAGAUAAAUGGGAAUACAAUUUACAUGAUUGAACAAGAUGUGUCCGCUUUGAUGCAGCAACCGAGAGGGGAAAGGACACCUAUUAUGGUUACAUAGUGGACAUAUGGGAACUUGACUACGGACAUGAUUUUAAGGUCCCUUUGUUUAAGUGCAAAUGGGUCAAUCUGUCAGGAGGCGGGGUACAAGUAGACCCACAGUACGGAAUGACAACAGUGGGUCUGAAAAAUCUUGGGUACACUGAAGAACUGUUUGUCCUAGCCAAUGAUGUGGCACAGGUUAUCUACGUGAAGGACAUGUCUACCAAACCGAGAAAAAGAAAAGAUAAGGAAGCGAAUAGAUCAUACGAUGAGCCAAAGCGCCACAUAGUUCUUUCAGGAAAAAGGGACAUCAUGGGAGUGGAGGUCAAGACAGACAUGUCUGAAGAUUAUGAAAAGUUUCAUGAAAUUCCUGCCUUCAAAGUCAAGGCUGACCCAAGCAUCCUGAUAAACGAUGAAGAUUAUCCAUGGUUACAGCACAAUAAGCAAAUGACACAAGCGAAGAAAAAGUGAAAACUUUCUCCCCCAACUAUUAUGAUGAUACCAUGCCAACUUUAUAACAGACGAAUAUGAUACCAUUGUCCGUUUUGUACAUGCACAUGCUAUGUGGGUGAAAUUAUGAUACCAUGCCAACAUUCAACUUUUUCAUAGUUUAUUUGAAAUGCUUUAAUGUCUUAUGGUUUGGCCCUCGUAAUACCAUUAAUCCCGGUUCGCUCCUUGUCAACUAUGUUCUCACCAAGAACACUCAAGAGGGCAGCCAUGUGGGCCAUUGAUCCCGGCUCCUUGUCCAGGUUCCACGCACGAACCGGGACCAAUGCGCCUCGCCCAUGGCCCAUGACCAUUAGUCCUGGUUUGUGCCACAAACCGGGACUAAAGGGUUGGUCCUCGUUGCGGUCAGAGUUUAGUCCCACCUUGCGAACCGAAGGGCGCUCACACCGGUUUAUAAGUCCCUCCCUCUCUGCCUUGUUGAGCUCCUCUCAAAGUGAAAAUAGAUGCCCUUAUACAGGGAAUUUGACGUAAAUUCAUACUGAAUUUAUCUGAAAUUCAUAGAAACUUAUUAUGAAUUUAGGUUGAAUUUUUAGUAAAGUUAAUCACAAACUUGUGAUUCACACAAAUUUCACAGAAUUCAAAUUUUAACUAUUAAAAUUUGAAAACUAAUUGCACUAACAGAAAGUUUAUAAUUUUUGUGACUUAAAAGAAAAAUAAUUAAAAAUAAACUUUAAUAAAAUAAAUAAAAAAACAAUAAGUAUUUUGUUGUAAGUAGAAACAAAAUAAAAUAAAUAAAGCAACAAAGAAAACAAAAAAAACAAAAAAAAUUCAAACUAAUGGCACUAACAGAAAGUUUAUAAUUUUGCUGUCCUAAAAGCAAAAAGAAUUAAAAUAUAAANNNNNNNNNNNNNNNNNNNNNNNNNNNNNNNNNNNNNNNNNNNNNNNNNNNNNNNNNNNNNNNNNNNNNNNNNNNNNNNNNNNNNNNNNNNNNNNNNNNNNNNNNNNNNNNNNNNNNNNNNNNNNNNNNNNNNNNNNNNNNNNNNNNNNNNNNNNNNNNNNNNNNNNNNNNNNNNNNNNNNNNNNNNNNNNNNNNNNNNNNNNNNNNNNNNNNNNNNNNNNNNNNNNNNNNNNNNNNNNNNNNNNNNNNNNNNNNNNNNNNNNNNNNNNNNNNNNNNNNNNNNNNNNNNNNNNNNNNNNNNNNNNNNNNNNNNNNNNNNNNNNNNNNNNNNNNNNNNNNNNNNNNNNNNNNNNNNNNNNNNNNNNNNNNNNNNNNNNNNNNNNNNNNNNNNNNNNNNNNNNNNNNNNNNNNNNNNNNNNNNNNNNNNNNNNNNNNNNNNNNNNNNNNNNNNNNNNNNNNNNNNNNNNNNNNNNNNNNNNNNNNNNNNNNNNNNNNNNNNNNNNNNNNNNNNNNNNNNNNNNNNNNNNNNNNNNNNNNNNNNNNNNNNNNNNNNNNNNNNNNNNNNNNNNNNNNNNNNNNNNNNNNNNNNNNNNNNNNNNNNNNNNNNNNNNNNNNNNNNNNNNNNNNNNNNNNNNNNNNNNNNNNNNNNNNNNNNNNNNNNNNNNNNNNNNNNNNNNNNNNNNNNNNNNNNNNNNNNNNNNNNNNNNNNNNNNNNNNNNNNNNNNNNNNNNNNNNNNNNNNNNNNNNNNNNNNNNNNNNNNNNNNNNNNNNNNNNNNNNNNNNNNNNNNNNNNNNNNNNNNNNNNNNNNNNNNNNNNNNNNNNNNNNNNNNNNNNNNNNNNNNNNNNNNNNNNNNNNNNNNNNNNNNNNNNNNNNNNNNNNNNNNNNNNNNNNNNNNNNNNNNNNNNNNNNNNNNNNNNNNNNNNNNNNNNNNNNNNNNNNNNNNNNNNNNNNNNNNNNNNNNNNNNNNNNNNNNNNNNNNNNNNNNNNNNNNNNNNNNNNNNNNNNNNNNNNNNNNNNNNNNNNNNNNNNNNNNNNNNNNNNNNNNNNNNNNNNNNNNNNNNNNNNNNNNNNNNNNNNNNNNNNNNNNNNNNNNNNNNNNNNNNNNNNNNNNNNNNNNNUUGUAUGUACGUAUGUAUGUAUGUAUGUAUGUAUGAGGGAUCAUAUAUGUAUUUUUUGUAUGUAUGUAUGUAUGAGGGAUCAUAGAUGUAUUUUUUCAGAAUUUUCUAUCGUGCAUAGACUGAGAAGGAGAAAGGAAAAUAAGAAGAGGAAGAAAGGAGAAGAAGAGGAGAAAUAAAUAAGAAGAGGAAAAAAGAAGAAAAAGAAGAGGAAUUUUUCUUCUUCUCUUCUAUUCCUUUCUUCUUCUCCUCUUUUUUCUUCUUCUUUUUUCUUCGAUCUUCUCCUCUAUUCCUUUCUUCUUCUCCUCUUUUUAUUUCUUCUUCGUUUUCUUAUGUUUUAUUGGGUCCCUUGCCCAUAACUUCAACACGAGGGGGGGUCGAUAUACCCCCUCCCGGUAAUAUUAUUUUCCCAUGUAUGUAUGUCAUCGUUGUUGAUAUAACCCCCUCCCGAUAACUUUAACACGUGGGGGGGGGUCGAUAUACCCCCUCCCCGAUAACAUUAUUUUCCCGUGUAUGUAUGUCGUGGUUAUCAAUAUUACCCCCUCUCGACUGUGAUAACUUAUACCAAAACUCUCGAGGACACCCAAACCAUAGAAAAAACGAUGUCGGUCUCCUACCCCCUCCCGCCGCGCCCCUACCCGACAAACUCCCUCGAGGCCACCCCCUCUUGCCCGACCAAAACUCUCGAGGACACCCAAACCCUAGAAAAAGCGAUGUCGGUCUCCUACCCCUCCCGCCGCGCCCCUACUCUUGAAGCGUUGCCGAGGCCACCCCAAACCCAGAAUAAGCUCGGUCUACGUUUGCCACUAAUAUAUCCACCUGCUGUCAUGUUUGUGUAAUAAUUGCCAUGUUGUAAUAUUUGCAGAAACAAUGCAGCACAUACGAGAUGAGGAAGCAGAAGAGGUGUUGGGGGACAUAAUCUUAGCCGGAGGUGAUAUCUUGUCGUAUCUUAAUGACAAUGAUGGUCUGGAAGAACAGGGUGAAGAAGAAGGCUACGGUGAUUGAAGAAUGGAGGAGAAAGACAUGAUUAUGAUGGCUCCGGUGACCCAAUGACGGUGCAAGAAGGAGAUCGUGAUGACGGCUCCAGUGACCGAACCGAGUCCGGCCAGGUAUAUAUAUAUUAGUUAAGCCUGUGCUGACUAGCUAAUUGAUGCAUUCAUUGUUUUGGUAUAUGUACACAUAUUAAUUAACUCUCGUCUUUCUUCUUUUUUCUAGCGCUCCAGAUCGAGCACAACUUUGGUAAAGAGACGAGGCCCGAAGAAAAAGUUGCGCUCGGAUGAAAGGUUUGAGAUCACAGCAAUCGCGCCUGACGGCCAGCCGAUUGAACCCAUCUGGACAAAGGAAGCAUUUGCUGCUCAGUGUGGGGUUCUUGUUAGAGACAAGAUCCCGAUCAGCAUCCACCAAUGGUAUAAGCCUAAGAAGGAAGACCCUAAGGUGGCUUAUGUCAAUGAUAUGUAGAAAGAUGAUCUUUGGACUGAGCUGAAGGCAAAUUUCACCCUACCGCCAGAGGAGGAUCCGGAGAAGCCAGUUAAAGAGCAAUUAAUCAAGUCUCAUGCUCUUAAGAAGAUGGCAGACCUAUUUAGGAGGUGGAAGAAUGAGCUGAAAAGGUUUGUCGACAAAGAAGAGACACCAGAAUUCAUCGGCAAAUAUGAGAAGAUUAGUGAUCACUGGCCUGCAUUUGUGGCCCACAAGACAUCGAAAAAGAGUAAGAAGAUGUCGGCGACAAACAAGCAAAAUGCUGCGAAGAAGAAUCUUCACCAUCGCACGGGGUCAGGUGGCUACCUCAAAGCCCGGCCUAAGUGGGCCAAGGCUGAGAAUGAUCUAUUAAUAAAGGGAUCGAACCAGAGACAAUGAACUGGCCAGACCGUUGCGGGACUUGGUUCUUCGGGGCUGGCGGAACCUUGGACCCUAUAUCAGGGAAGUGCCUUUGGACAGACGAGCAAAUGAGAAUACCAGUCAAGAGGCUUCAGUACUAUAUCGAUGCAGUGCAUGAAGGGACGUUCGUUCCAGACAGAGAGAACGACGAGCUCACAAUGGCCCUCGGGAAUCCUGAGCACCCUGGACGGACAAGAGGCACGCCAGGCUCUGUUCUGUGGAAGGCUAGGUUUUCAGACGCAGGCGGUUACAAAUGCCAGGAGUGGAGGAAGAAAGAGCAGCAGACCGAACUGCAGGCGCUGCACGCAAGGGAACAAGCAAUAGAGGAACGAGAAGCAAAUCGCAGCAAACGAACUGCUGAAGCUUCCCCCAAAGCUACCCCGCCAUCUCAGCGGAGAAGCAGUGUGGCUUCCACCGAGCUGCUUCAGCCGGAGCAUGUCUUGAUGGCUGCUGCUAGCUACCCCGUGGAUGCUAUCAUGGAGUCUCAAAAUUGCCACCUUAUGACGCAAUGGCAGAACUUAAAAGUCAAGGUGGCUGUCGGCUCUGUUCCAACUUCUGAACCCGGUGCAACUUUUUACUGUCGUCCGAUUCCAGAAGGAUAUGCUAGGGUGACGGUGGACGAAAUAACGGAGGGAUUUGAGGACCUCCAGCUUGACCACCCUACCGGUGAAGGGGAGACUCGGCUGGGUUCUGCUCUGAAGACUCCAUGCCUAUGGCGGAAGGAGUUCAUCAACCUUCCGAACUGGACGCCUCUGCCUCCUCCUGCUCCUCCGGCGAGUCAGGGCACUCCGCAUCCUCCACCGUCUCCUCGUCCGGUGAGUGACGAUCAGGGCACUCAGCCUCCUUCACCGGCGUGUGGCGGCACUCCGCCUCCUUCUCCGCCUGCGCCGGCGUGCCCCAGCAGCCAGCAACAUCCACCUUCUCCGCCUCGGCAGCAAGGGCGGAAGAGACCCGCCUCCGCCCCGGCUGCUCCGGCACGUCAUAGACCUUCUCCUCCGCCUCGUAAGCAAGCACGAAAGAAGACAGCCGCAGUCGCUCCGUCUGCUCCGGCGUCUAGCAGUACAGCCAGAGGCGGGUGGCAAUGCAGAUAUGGUCCACCUCUCAAGCCUCUAGAGAAGUUACCGUACGAGAGGACCGAGGAGGAAAAUGCGAAGAUCGUUGCAGACCGAAGUGAAGGACUUCUUUGAAGGGUUGAAAGCAAAGAGACAUCCACCUCCGGAGGAGAAGGUAGAUCCGGUGAAAGCAAAUCGCACUAUCGAUGCCCUGAGGAAACCACCAAUGUCUCCGCCGAAAACCAAAUAUGAGCGCAUUACUAAAAAGGCAUAUCUUGAAGCGGAGCGGUCGGGAAGUACUGUCAGUGAUCAAAGGUUAAAAGAACGAGCAGCUGGGAAAAAAAUUGCCCAGCUCGGCAAACAAGCAAAGCAAUAGUGGCCCCCGCUCAAUGUGUCUAGCGACAUCGUCGCUAAUGCUCCGGGGACGGUGCCCAGUUAUAGCAAUCUUAGAGGUUACCUGCCUGACGAUGUACAUUUUGAUUUCUUGGAGGUGGACGAACACAGAUACGAGUACGGGAAGCCUCUCGUCAAAGAUGAAAAAUCUCUAACAACGAUGAUGCGAAGAUUCCAUAAUUGGUACAUGAAAACCUGCAGAGAGUCUGGGGGACAAAUACUUUGUAUCUGAGAAUUAAAGAGGAGCACGACCUCGUUGGAACUUUUCUGUUGCCUGUUCCAUUUGAGGAGUUCUUCGAGUUCUUCAAUCAAAAUGCCUUCGAUAAAUUAACGGUCUUUUGCUACUGUCUGUAAGUACUAUUUCUGUCAUUAAAUCUUUAUAUAUAGCUCAGCUCUUUCAAUGCAUGUAUCUAUAAUUAAUUAUCCUAACUAUAUUAUGCAGAUUGAAGAUCGUCGAGUGAAGAAAGAAGAAAUGUAUGAUAUUGGGUUCAUUAACAGAAAUAUCAUAGAUGAUUUUCUGGUUACAAAAGACGCCGAAGAGGCCGAGGCCUACUUGCUACAAUCGUUGAUCAAAAAUCAAAACAAAGAUUUAAUACUCCUUCCUUACAACUUCGAGUGAGUGUUACUGUCGUGUGCAUAUUCGGUUUCCCUUAUUACUUGAGCGAGGUUAUAGUAAUGUAAUUGAUGAGUUAUGCAUGCGUGCGUAGCUUCCACUAUGUUCUUCUGGAGAAUAAGCUUGAGCGGGGGCUAGUAACCGUCUUAGACUCGAGACGAAAAGAUCCCGAAACCUAUGUAGACAUGACUAAAAUGCCAAACAAGUAAGUUCAAUCGAUCAUUAAGCACCAUAUCGGCAACUUUUUGUUCAUUUCCUGAUAUCUCAAGUAAUAAUAAUUAUUUUCUUUGUCUUGCAGGGUUUGGAAACAGUUCACCACAGAAGCUCCGGGACUGCCGAAGGAGCUGCGAUAUACAUACCCGAAAGUAAGUACUACUAGCUAGCUAGUUGCGCGCAUCUCCCGUUGAUUCUAUAGCUAUACUUUCAUCAAUGCCAUUUAUAAUGCUUCAUUAUCAGUUUGAUUGACCUCUAUUUCUCGUAAAGUGCUUGUGACAGGAACAAGGGAAUGAUUACUGCGGAUACUACAUGUGCGAGUUCAUCUACAACGCGACUUCGAAAAAUAAGCGGGACUACUCUAAAAGACAAUAUGAAGUGCGUAAGCAAUAAUAUUCACAAUUUCAUUUUAUUAGACAAUCAUUUCUGUUGAGUUUCAUUAAUAUAUAUGUAUUAACCCCCCUUUUCAAAUUAGAUGUGGCAGAUGCAGAAUGAACUCCUACCACAAGAUCGCAUGAAAGCAAUUCAAGAGGAAUUGGCGGGAUUCUUUCUUGACCAUGUCAUUAUUAAAGCCGGAGAAUACCAUGUGGAAGUUGAUUUCAAAUGCUAGGGGAUUGUAAGAGAUCUUACAUAUUGUAUAUGUAUGUAGCCAGUAGCGUUGGAUAGAUAAUACGAAAACUUGUUGUUCGACCAAUCUCUCGGAGAAGGAGAGGUCGAUCGAUCACUUCUCUCGGUAUGCACGGCGAACUUCUGUACUUAAUGGUUUCCUUCAUUUUAUUACUAGCUAGCAUUUCGAGGGCCUUUCUAUGUAUAGUACGUAGCGUCGACCAAGCACGGACAUAAGAGAGGACACUUCUCUCUAUUAAUUAGCUAGCUAACACAAUAUAUGAAACACCUAAAUUAACCCCCCAAAACCCCCAACCCCCCCUUUAAAAUAAACAAAAACCUCAGCCUCUGAAAUGCUGACGCGUGGAUGCCUUUUGGUCCCGUUGGUCCCGGGACCAAAGGCCCUCCUGCCUGGGCUCGGCGCACCGGCCACGUGGAGGCCCAUCUAUCCCGGUUCGUGUUAGAACCGGGACUAAAGGUCUAGGGCAUUAGUAACGACCCUUUAGUCCCGGUUCAAGAAUCGGGACAAAAGGCCCUAACCAACAGGGACGAAUGGGUUUUUUUCUACUAGUGUGAGGAAAGGAUGAUGGAGACUAUGAUUCCCCCACAAGUCGGGAUAAGACUCCGGACAAAAAUAAAAAAUAAUAAAAAAAGAGGCCAUAAAAAAGGAAAAAGGGGAGAAAGGCCCAAAUAAAAAAAUAAAAAUAAUAAAAAAUGAGGGAAAAAGAGAGAAGGGACAAUGUUACUAUCCUUUUACCACACUUGUGCUUCAAAGUAGCACCAUGAUCUUCAUGAUAGAGAGUCUCCUAUGUUGUCACUUUCAUAUACUAGUGGAAAUUUUACAUUAUAAAACUUGGCUUGUAUAUUCCAAUGAUGGGCUUCCUCAAAAUUCCCUAGGUCUUCGUGAGCAAGCGAGUUGGAUGCACACCCACUUAGUUUCUUUUGUUGAGCUUUCAUACACUUAAUAGCUCUAGUGCAUCCGUUGCAUGGCAAUUCCUACUCACUCGCAUUGAUAUCUAUUAAUGGGCAUCUCCAUAGCCCGUUGAUACGCCUAGUUGAUGUGGGACUAUCUUCUCCUUUUUCGUCUUCUCCACAACCACCAUUCUAUUCCACAAAUAGUGCUAUAUCCAUGGCUCACGCUCAUGUAUUGCGUGAAGAUUGAAAAAGUUUGAGAACAUCAAAAGUAUGAAACAAUUGGUUGUAUUGUCAUCGGGGUUGUGGAUGAUUAAAUACUUUAUGUGAUGAAGAUAGAGCAUAGCCAAACUAUAUGAUUUUGUAGGGAUAACCUUCUUUGGCCAUGUUAUUUGAGAAAACAUGAUUCCUUUGUUAGUAUGCUUGAAGUAUUACUAUUUAUUAUGUCAAUAUGAACUUUUAUUUUGAAUCAUUUGGAUUUGAACAUUCAUGCCACAAUAAAGAAGAUUACAUUGAUAAAUAUGUUAGGUAGCAUUCCACAUCAAAAAUUCUGUUUUUAUCAUUUACCUACUCGAGGACGAGUAGGAAUUAAGUUUGGGGAUGCUUUAUAUGUCUCCAACAUAUCUAUAAUUUUUUAUUGUUCCAUGCUAUUAUAUUAUCCAUCUAGGAUGUUUUAUAUGCAUUUAUAUGCUAUUUUACAUGAUUUUUGGGACUAACCUAUUAACCUAGCCUAGCGCUAGUUUCUUCUUUUCCCUUGUUUUUGAGUAUCGCAGAAAAGGAAUACCAAACGGAGUCCAGACGUGCCAAUUUUUGAUGAUUUUUUAUGGACCAAAAGAAGACCACAAAGAAUUGGAGUUGGUCCAGAAGAGCCCCGGGCUGCCCACAAUGGUGGGGGGCGCGCCCACCCCCCUGGGCACGUCCCCUGCCUCGUGGACAGCCGGGAGACCCCCCUGACUUGUUCCCAACGCCAUAAAUUCCUAUUAAUACAGAAACCUGCAGGAGCAUACCUAGAUCGGGAGUUCCGCGGCCGCAAGCCUCUGUAGCCACCAAAAUCCAAUCGGGACCCUGUUUCGGCACCCUUCUAGAGGGCGGAACCCUCACCGGUGCCCAUCUUCAUCAUCCCAACGAUCUGCAUGACGAGCAGGGAGUAGUUCUCCCUUGGGGCUGAGGGUAUGUACCAGUAGCUAUGUGUUUGAUCUCUCUCUCUCUCUCUCUCUCUCUCUCUCUCUCUCGUGUUCUUGAGGUGGUACGAUCUUGGUGUAUCGCGAGCUUUGCUAUUAUAGUUGGAUCUUAUGAUGUUUCUCCCCCUCUACUCUCUUGUAAUGGAUUGAGUUUUCCCUUUGAAGUUAUCUUAUCGGAUUGAGUCUUUAAGGAUUUGAGAACACUUGAUGUAUGUCUUGCCGUGCUUAUCUGUGGUGACAAUGGGAUAUUCAUGUGAUCUACUUGAUGUAUGUUUUGGUGAUCAACUUGCGGGUUCGCCUUGUGAACUUAUGCAUAGGGUUGGCACACGUUUUCAUCUUGACUCUCCGGUUGAAACUUUGGGACACUCUUUGAAGUACUUUUGCGUUGGUUGAAUAGAUGAAUCCGAGAUUGUGUGAUGCAUAUCGUAUAAUCAUACCCACGGAUACUUGAGGUGACAAUGGAGUAUCUAGGUGACAUUAGGAUUUUGGUUGAUUUGUGUCUUAAGGUGUUAUUCUAGUACAAACUCUAUGAUAGAUUGAACGGAAAGAAUAGCUUCGUGUUAUUUUACUAUGGAAUCUUGAAUAGAUCGAGCAGAAAGAAUAACUUUGAGGUGGUUUCGUACCCUACCAUAAUCUCUUCGUUUGUUCUCCUCUAUUAGUGACUUUGGAGUGACUCUUUGUUGCAUGUUGAGGGAUAGUUAUAUGAUCCAACUAUGUUAUUAUUGUUGAGAGAACUUGCACUAGUGAAAGUAUGAACCCUAGGCCUUGUUUCCUAGCAUAGCAAUACCGUUUAGGCUCACUUUUAUCAUUAGUUACCUUGAUGUUUUUAUAUUUUCAGAUUACAAAAACCUAUAUCUACCAUCCAUAUUGCACUUGUAUCACCAUCUCUUCGCCGAACUAGUGCACCUAUACAAUUUACCAUUGUAUUGGGUGUGUUGGGGACACAAGAGACUCUUUGUUAUUUGCUUGCAGGGUUGUUUGAGAGAGACCAUCUUCAACCUACGCCUCUCACGGAUUGUUAAACCUUAGGUCAUCCACUUGAGGAAAAUUUGCUACUGUCCUACAAACCUCUGCACAUUGAACAAACGAAGGUUGCGUAGUAGACAUCACUGAGCAUGGGGAUACAUUUUUUUUCUUACCCUAUCUGCUCUGUAUCCUAAAAUACACGCCGGAUAUGUGUUAAUUGGCUCUGAGAUUUGUGUUUGCCAAAUAUAUUCGAGUACCUAACAAGAGGCUAAUGAGAGACUUUAUACAGAGUAGUUUUAUCUACAUAAUUAUCGUGUAUUACGGAGAACUGAUACAUUUUUCCAAGUCAUUUCUCUCAUGAUUAGGAUAGAGACUUCGAGUCGGGACGUUUUGUUUCAGUGUAAUGUCAGGUUGUCCAAGGGAUUUGGAAUUGUUGCUGUGUAGAUUGUGUCCUCCAGGAUCGGAUAAGGUACUGUAAAUUUUUCUCGGCAUGAAGUAAGUUGGAGUUGGUUCAGUACUUCAGAGGCCUCAUAAAUCACUGCAACAAGUGAAUGCUCAAUUGUACCAGAGCUGCGCAUGGACGUGGAGUUGUUAUACUGGUAUAGGUUAUUUUUCCUCUGGAUAAGAUAAGAUGUUGUAAAAUAGUCUCGGCUUGAACUAAGUUCAAAUUGGUUCAGUAAAUCACUACGCAAAUGAAUGCUCCAUUGCAACAGAGCUGCACAUGGACGUGGAGUUGUUAUACUAGUUCCAUCCUCCACCUCAGGUGAGCCCUUCCCUCCUGUACCAUGUUCCGUCCAAUUUUUUCCCAGAAGUUUCUCGCAGUAUAACUGCAAUUGGUCAACGCAGUUAGUAGUCAUUAUGCCUCCAACUGCAAUGCAUGUGGCGUUUGUGAAUCAUGAAAUGGUUGCUUUGCUUGCUUGCGAUUAGUCUAGUCUAUGCAGCAGGUGCACGCUCUGAGCUCGCUCGCAAGGUGUUUGCGACAAUGCCUCUAGGAAAGUUGAAAUGUCAAUUUGUUCAGCCAAUGUAGAAUUCUAUGUUCCACAAGAUACGGAGGAGCCUAUGGAUCUUAAACUUUGCUCAUUAAAUUGAACAGAAAACAUUGUACUAUUCGUACACAAACAAAACAUCUAUGGGUGGGGAUGUUGGCGUUGCGCGAUUAAAUUGAAAAGAAAAUGCUCUGAUAAGAUUAGCAUAUACGGUGUGCUUCAUGCAUCCAAGAGACCAAGAUGUCUUCUCUUCUCUGUGGGGAGAAGCUGAUUUUGCAUUGACGGCUAAUGAUUAUUCUUUGUGUUCCAUAGUUUAAAAGGCAACCAUUUUGCACUGGAUAACCAAGUAUUCUGCCAGGGUUAAAUUUAAUUAAGAAUGUUGUUCUGCACUUUUGCUUAUUGUAAGCUCCUCCUUUUGCCCAUUUUAUUUCCUUGGGAAAUGUACUCUGAUUCAGCCAGGACAUCACAAGACUGUGCUCUGUUUCUUCUCAGGUCCAGCCUGAUUCGGCAUUCCUGGACAGCCACAAGGCAUGCCUUGGCCGCCAUUGAGCAGAAUGCCGCUGGUGGCCAGCGGCUACAGAGUGUCGUCUCAGCGGACAAGGGAGUAUCAGGCGAGACAUCAUCAUCAUCAAGCGAGCAUGGGAGUUUUUCCUGCAAGCAAGUAUCUCAUUAUCCUUACCUUCAUCUGAACCACACUUGCAUUUUUAAAUCUUUGGAGAUGGCGUAGGAUAAGGCCCAGAUGAACGCUAGCCACUGUUAGGAGUACAAGUUUAGUCCUGACAGACUGGGCGUAAGUGGAUUGGUUUGCCUUUUGAUUAGUAUAAGUAGAUGGUAGCAGACCUGGACAAAUAACAUUGGAUCUUAAUGUCUCAUGACAUUGAGUAGAGGACAAGAGAUCGGAUGAGUCUUGUUGUCACAUGUGGUUCGGAUGGUCAAAGUAGAUGAUAGUUGGAUCCGAGCACCCAGUCAGUGAUGCUCUGCCGCCCGAUUUAAAAUGGUGCUCUCUGGAGAGUCAACGUCGACCCCGGCGCUGGUGCAGGAGGUGUCCAUGGGCAACGUCCUCAGCGCAAAGUUCGGCUAGGCCCCGGCCAGGCAGGCCUCUCUCCGCGUCGCCUGCCCAACACCGUACCCUGCACUACUGUCAACAAAGUCUGCUCAUCGGGGACGAAGUGUAUCCAUAUUUCAUCUCUUCACCUGCAAUGUCUCCGUAGUUACUUGUCGCCGCUGCUAAAAAACAUAUGUUGUUGCAUGUUGGCCUGCUCCUUGCUAUCUGAAGUAUAUAUUUUUUGUCUAUCGCUCAUUCGCUAUCUGAAUAAUUUUAUGAAGGUAAUUUUAGUGUGUGUUUAGCUUUCUGUUUUUGCUUCUACUUCACAGAGUGGAAGAUCGUAAGAAAACAUUGGAUGAUCUUUAAGAAUUAUUCUUAGAAGUAAACCUGAGCAGUAUUUGAUGAUAUAUUGUGAGUCACUGAAAAUGUAUAUUGUUUUUUCUUCAGGAUAUGGAUGACUAUCUGAAGGGAUGCAGGUUUCUUCCCAAACUUAAGAAUGAGAUACCUGGUGAAAGAAAUGCUCCCUAGUCCCUACAGGGAAAGGUUGAGCAGCCUAGAGAAUUUAGUACUGAUCAUGGUAAGGCCAACAAAGCCUGAAAUCUCAUUUUGAUCCACGUUCAAAGAUUACAUGCUACCAUAUAUACUUGAAGUUGGCAUGUAAUAUCAAAAUUAAAAAUAGACUUCGCCUAUUCCCUGUUUAGAAGAGCAGUGGGAAUCAAUUUUCUGAUGUCCUUUGUUGGCGAUUUCCCUAUCCAUGAAAUGAUAAAUUUUGAAGAGAUGUUAACUUUCAAAUAUUUCAAGCAUAUAUAGCUCAAAUACACUAGUAUUUCUUGAAUGCACCAAAACAAGAAGAUAGCAUCAACACGUACAGCUAGGGUAUGCAUUUAGUAGGUGUUUUUCCGUUUUGAAGAUUCAUAAUAGACUAAAAGAGACAGAUAAUUGAAAAAAAUACCGUAGUGGAUCUGCACAAGGGCGCUAACUAACAAGUUUUCACUUUCUCGAUUGGGUGUAGGGUGAUCGACGAGGACUACUGUGGCCCGAUGGGAGUCGUGCUCUUCAACUACUCGGAGGCAGACUUCACCGUGAAGCCCCGCGACCGCGUCAUACACAUUAUCGUCCAGGUGAUUACGAUGUAGGAGGUCCCAGGGGUGGAGGACCUCGACGCCACCGUCUGGAGGUCACCAAGGUGGAGGACGACGCCAUCUUCCGGAGUUCCUCAAGGUGGAGGACCUCGACGGUUUGUACAUAUAUCUAGAGAAGUGGUCUGGUUAGGUUGGUGGUGAAACGCUAGGGAAGGUACCAACCUUUUGAUGAUGGUUGUGUGUGUCCUCGUCAUCUCUUCGAGUUGAGAUGUUCAAUGUUGCAUCCGUGAACACUGCAAGUGUUAAGAUGGUUCUGUGAAAUUUAUUUUGCACUGGACGUGCCUCUGAUCUCCAUUCAUGAAUACUGCAUCUAUUUUUAUUUUUUAAUUCCUAAUUUGUUACUAGUAGCAUUCGGAAAAAGUGCCCUACUAGUAUUUAGGAUACUAGUAGCGCUGGUAUUAUAGGCACGCUACUACUACUUCACUAGUAGUAGCGCGUGUCUAUAAUAGCAGCAGCGUGGGUGGCACACGCUACUACUAACAAAAUAAGUAGUAGCACGGGUUUCACCCACGCUACUACUAACUAUUAGCUGUAGCGCGAUACUAGUAGCGCAGGUAUCCGCGCUGCUAGUAGCCUUUUUCUUAGUAGUGUUAAGAUCCAUCCACUAGACAGAUCCAAUUAGCAACUUCUUCGACGACAAUAGAGCCGCACUUGCUCUCCGGGCGUCAUGGCUUCGACCCCAAGCCACGCAUGGACGAGUUGCUUCCAUCAGCGAUAGGAAGGCCGUGCACACAGGCCCAAGCUAACCGGUCAAUGCCGUCGUGAGUGUCAUGUGCGCGCUUGCAAGCUAACGUACGAUGUGUCUGCUCGAGCAGCCACUGUUAGAUAAAACGAUAAUAAAGAGACACAAGAGACACAGAUUUUUUACAUGGAAACCAUUGCCCGAGAAAACCACGGAUGCACGAAGGCGUAAUCACUAUGAGGAGGAGUAUUACAAGCACGAGACGACAUGCCAUCUUCAGGUGCGACUACGUGGGGUACGUAUUAGGGGCAACACAUAAGAGUCUUUGUAGUACAAGUAAACGAUCGAGUUGUACUCAUACCCGUCGGUACCAACACAAAACACGCACCAGUUGUACUACGAUCUAGUCCAACACGGUAUUAGAAUUUGGAUCACAAUUUAACAAUCUCCACCUUGAGCAAAAUUCCCUCUAGUAGUCGAAGAAAGUAAAUAACACCAUUCAAAUCAGCAUAAACACCUUGUGUGUCCAAGUCCAUAGGACUAGUGAGAAAUACCAACUAAGCAUGAGCAAAGCUCAAACUUAUUGGUAGAAACUGGCCUUUUCAUCAUAUCAGCACGAUUAUCAUGAGUACUUAUCUUGCGUAUCUUCAAAUCACCUUCAACAACAACAUCUCGAAUAUAUCGAUAUCUGACAUCAAUGUGCUUUGUUCUCUCUUGCUACAUUGGAUUCUUUGUAAGAUAUAUAACACUUUAGCUGUGAGAAUAUAUGAUAGGGAAAGAAUAAUCUCCACAAAGCUCAGUGUAUAAACAUCUCAACCAGAUAGCUUCUUUGCAUGCCUCAGAAAUAGCCAUAUACUCGGCAUCAGUAGUGGAACAAGCCACCCUAGACUGUAAAGUUGCUCCCCAACACAUAGCACAACCACCAAUGGUGAAAACAUAACCUGUGAGUGAACUUAUCUUAUCAAACUAACCAGCAAGAGAAUAUUUCUAGGUCCCAAUAUACCCAAUGUCAGAUCGCUGCCAAGAAACACGAGCCAGAAAACACAAUAUGCGUACCUGCCACACCUUCAUAACUCCAAAUACCUGGAUUUGUUACAGUUCCUCCUGAAAUACUCCAACCACCCCACGAAUCCGUUAUUCCUAAACGAGUCAUAAAAGGGAAUUACGAACAUACCUUUUCUCCACAUUGGAUCCAGAACAGGACCAGAGGGAUAAAAAACUGCUAAUUCGUAUAAAGCCAUUGAGCCAGCCCAACCAGAAACUAGAGCUCGACAAAACCAAUAAGUCCAUCUCCAGUUUUUCCAAACUGUAAAUAAGCAUUAGAAGCACCUCGUAGGUAUCCGAAAAUACACUGAACUGCUUUCCAAUGCACUUUUUGAAGAAAAUAUGACCUAGAGGCAAUAAUAAAGUUGUUAUUUUAUAUUUCCUUAUAUCAUGAUAAAUGUUUAUUAUUCAUGCUAGAAUUGUAUUAACCGGAAAUUUGAUACAUGUGUGGAUACAUAGACAAAACACCAUGUCCCUAGUAAGCCUCUACUAGACUAGCUCAUUAAUCAAAGAUGGUUAAGUUUUCUAACCAUAGACAUGAGUUGUCAUUUGAUAACGCGAUCACACCAUUAGGAGAAUGAUGUGAUGGACAAGACCCAUCCAUUAGCUUAGCAUAAUGAUCGUUCAGUUUAUUGCUAUUGCUUUCAUCAUGUCAAAUACAUAUUCCUUCGACUAUGAGAUUACGCAACUCCCAGAUAUCGGAGGAAUACUUUGUGUGCUAUCAAACAUCACAACAUAACUGGGUGAUCAUAAAGAUGCUCUACAGGUAUCUCCGAAGUUAUUUGUUGAGUUGGCAUAGAUCGACAUUAGGAUUUGUCACUCCGAGUAUCGGAGAGGUAUCUCUGGGCCCUCUCGGUAAUACUCAUGAUAAGCUCACAAGCAAAUGACUCGGGAGUUAGUCAACGAGGUGAUGUAUUACGGAACGAGUAAAGAUACUUGCCAGUAACGAGAUUGAACUAGGUAUGAAGAUAUCGACGAUCGAAUCUCGGGCAAGUAACAUACCGACAGACAAAGGGAACUACGUAUGUUGUCAUAUAGGUUCAACCGAUAAAGAUCUUCAUAGAAUAUGUAGGAAUCAAUCUGGGCAUCCAGGUGCUAUUAGUUAUUGACCAGAGAGGUGUCUCGGUCAUGACUACAUGAUUCCCGAACGCUUAACGUUUGUUGAUGCUAGAGUAGUAUUGGUAUAUUUGAUGAGUAGUAACCAAAUGUUGUUCGGAGUCCCGGAUGAGAUCCCAAACGUCAAGAGGAGUCUCGGAAUGGUCGAGAGGUAAAUAUUUGUAUAUAGGAAGUCAUAUUUUGGGUUCCGGAAAAAGGUGCAGUUUUUUCGGUAUUGUACCCGGAAGCUUCUAGAAAGUUCCAGAGGAUUCCGGGGGGGUUCGGAAGUCCACAAGUGGGUUCACCACGACCCAAGGGCUAGCAUGGGCUGCGGGAAGGUGCCCUAACCUUCUUGGGCUAGGCGCACUAAGUCCUGAAAAGCCCAUGUGGGCUAGGGAAAGGAAAAAAGGAUGGAGUCCUAGUAGGAAUACGAUUGGACUUGGAUUCCAAGUCCUCCCCCGNNNNNNNNNNNNNNNNNNNNNNNNNNNNNNNNNNNNNNNNNNNNNNNNNNNNNNNNNNNNNNNNNNNNNNNNNNNNNNNNNNNNNNNNNNNNNNNNNNNNNNNNNNNNNNNNNNNNNNNNNNNNNNNNNNNNNNNNNNNNNNNNNNNNNNNNNNNNNNNNNNNNNNNNNNNNNNNNNNNNNNNNNNNNNNNNNNNNNNNNNNNNNNNNNNNNNNNNNNNNNNNNNNNNNNNNNNNNNNNNNNNNNNNNNNNNNNNNNNNNNNNNNNNNNNNNNNNNNNNNNNNNNNNNNCGCCUUGGACUUUGGAGGGGUUGUUGCCACACCCCUCCACCUAUAUAUAGAAGGGAGGGGCUCCCCAAGAGUACACACAAAGCCCUUGACGCCCCUCUCUCUCCCGUUACUCAGUAGUUCCACCACCUCGUCCCGGCGACGCUUAGCGAUGCGCUAUCGGUGCUCCACCACCACCAUCACCACCACGCUGUCAUGUUGGUUGUCAUCCCAUCUACUUCUCCUCUCCCUCUUGCUGGAUCAAGAAGGAGGAGACGUCUUCGAUCCGCACGUAUGCUAAACUCGGAGGUGUUGUCCGUUCGGUACUAGAUCGGUUGGAUCGUGAUCAGAGCUAGAAGAAGUCCGACUACGUUAACCGCGUUGUCUAACGCUUCCGCUUUCAGUCUCCGAGGGUACAUAGACACACUCUCCCCCUCUCGUUGCUAUGCAUCUCCUAGAUAGAUCUUGCGUGAGCGUAAGAAAAUUUUGAAAUUGCGUGCUACGUUCCCAAACACUUUUCAAGGAUUAGCCAUGUAUCAACUGACAACACUCAAUGCAUAAGACAAAUUCGGACAAGAACAAACCAUGGCAUGCAUAAGUGAACCAACUGCACUUAAUAGGGAACUCUGGACAUGUACUCAAUAUCUGCAUCUUACUUAGGGCAUAAAGCUGAUGAUAACUUGAAGUGUACAGCUAACGGAGUACUCACCGGCUUGGCAUUAUGCAUAUCAAAACGACGAAGAAGUUUAUCAUUAUACCCCUUCUGACUUAGAUAUACUUUUCCAGAUGGUCUAUCUCCGGAUAUUUCCGUGCCAAGUAUUUUCUUUGCUGCACACAAAUCCUUCAUCUCAAAUUAAUCACUCAAUUGCUUCUUUAGUUCAUUAAUAUCUAACAUACUCUUUGCAGCAAUAAGCAUAUCAUCAACAUAAAGGAGAAAAUAAAUAGUUGAUCCAUUGACGGUUUUCAAAUAAACACAACUAUCAUAAUUAGACCUUUUGAAACCUUGAGAGAGUAUAAAAGUGUCAAAUCUCUUGUACCAAUAUGUAGGGGAUUUCUUUAACUUAUAGACAAGCUUUUUAUUUUUCAAGAAUAACAAAACCUUCAGGUUGUUACAUAUAAAUAUCCUCUUCUAAUUCUCCAUGUAAGAAUGCAGUUUUAACAUCCAAUUGUUCAAUCUCAAGAUCAUGCAUGGCAACAAUACUGAGUAAAGUGCGAAUAGAGUUAUGCUUCACAACAGGAGAAAAGACUUCAUUAUAGUCAGUACCUGGAAUUUGACUGUAACCUUUAGCAACUAACCUUGCUUUAUACUUUGUUUCAUCAUUAGGAGAAACACCUUCUUUCCUCUUGAAAACCCACUUGCAACGAAUAGGUUUCUUCUCUCUAGGUAAUUUUACUAAAUCCCAAGUACCAUUAUUUUCAAGUGAUUCUAUCUCAUCAUGCAUAGCGGUUAUCCACUUAUUACUAUCACCAAAAAUAAUAGCCUCGGAAUAUGAAGAAGGCUCAGCAUUACCUUCAAUUUCUUCUGCAACAUAUAAAGCAAAAGAAACAAUAUUGCACUCUUCAAUUAACCUUUCAGGUUUAUUAAUACAUCGCGUAACUCUGUCACGUGCAGGCUUCCAACUGGGUGGAACAAUAGGAUGAUUUGGAGUGGGAGUGACAUGUUCAUCAUCAACGAUGGGUUCAUCAUGUGCAUCAAUAUUUUUCUUAUAAGAUGUAUCACCUGAAUCAAUAACAUGCUCCACGUGAACAGUAGGAUGCUGAAUAGUAGCCUGUUGUACACUCUUAAUAGGAACAUUGGUAGAUGAAACAUCUUGUAGCACAUCAGAUGCAUUAAAAAUAACGUUUCUGCUAAUAACAACCUGUUGGGUGUUAAGAUUCCACAAUUUAACUUUAAUACCAGACUUAUUACCAAGAAAGAUGCACUUAACAACCCUAGGCUCCAACAUUCCAUUAUCAACAUGAGCAUAAGCAGUGCAACCAAAUACUCUCAACCGUAAAUAGUCAGCAGGUGAAUCAGACCAUACCUCAAUUGAAGUUUAAGGAAUGGACUAAACCCUAUGAAAAAACUCAAAUGGACUGUGAAUUAGCAAAAGACAAUACAUGAUCACCAAUUAACCUAUGACUAUUUCUCAAAAAAAAAAAACCGAUGGCUAACAGAAAAAAAACAUAGGAUUAAUUUAAAUGUGGUUUUAGAAACUCAAGGAAGGAGACGGAGCGCGAGUCCGGAAAGAGGACGGAGAUUCGGCAGUGGAUGGAGAUGGAGGGGAACUCAAGAAGGUUCGGUACGAACUCAACAAGAAGACGAGGAGCUGUUGGGAUUAGGUAACCACAACGACGUGUCCGGCUUGGAGUUGAACUCGAUUAAGAGUCGUUCUCAGUUAUUACUAGUAGAUAUAAAAAGCGAUCCAGCGGGCCGGUGCCUGGCUGAGCGUGAGACCCCGCGGUGUACGUAAAAUUGCCACCGACGGGCGACCGGCGGCGAGCGGCGGCGGUGAAGCCUUCUCUUCUCUUCUCAACACCCCACCCCACCCCCCAACCAGAGAUCCUCCGCCCCCCAACCAGGAUCCUCGGCCGAAGGCGGCGGAGAGGGAAGGAAAAGAUGGAGGGGGAACUCAGCAAGAAGACGGAGAGCAAGUCCGGGAAGAUCGAGUCCGGCCAGGGGACGGAGAUGGAAGGGGAGCUCAGGAAAGAGCAGGAGAGGAUCAGGGAGCUUCGGGACCAACUCAUCAAGAGUUGUGAAUCCUCCACGGACCCGGCGACGCAGAGGAUAUUCUUGGAUCAGCUGGAUGAACUCUGGAUGGAGGAGUACGCACUCCGCACCUACAUGAGCAAGUCCGGGAUGGAGAUUCAGAGGGCUUCCGGUUCCGAUACAGAUCCCGAUUGCGAUUCCGAUUCUGGCGAUGAGAUGGGCAGUUCGGGGGUGCACCCAUCCCUCAUAAGGAUGGAGUGGAGACUCAGGAAGGAGAUGAUGGAGAGGGAUUCCAGCAAGGGGACGACCGAGAUCGAGUCCGGCAAAGAGCAGGAGAUGGUGGGCAAACUCAGCAAGGAGCACCAGAGACUCAGGAAGGUUCGGUACCAACUCAACAAGAGGUGCCCGGCGACGCAAAGGAUACUCUCGACUCAGCAGGAGAUACUCUGGACCAAGGAGCAAGCACUCCUCACCAUCAUGAGGCAGUCGGGGAUGGAGAUUGAGAGGGAUCUUCCCGAUUCCGAUUCCGGCAAUGAGAUGGGCAGAGAUUCGCCCCUCAUAAGCAUGGAGUCGGGACUCAGCAAGGGGACGGAGAAAGACGCCAGUGGCAAGGACUUGGUUGUUGCUCUUUCUAGCCACCUUGAGGUGCUUAAGAGGGAGAUCUCGUUCCUGAGGACAGAGGUCACGUCCCGGGGCAAUGGGUUGGCUGGAAAUGGAAACAAGGCUGAUCAAGAGCACAUCAUCAUGUCUAACCUGUCCCUCGAUGACACUCUACUCAAGAAGAAGGUGAAUUUGCCUUACCUCGGUUGCCAGACUGAGCAUGUAAUGGAUUUCCUGCUCGUCGAGACGCAGCAGUUGCUCUAUCGCUUCAACUCUUUCGCGUCCAUUCUACAAAAAUUCAGAAUCCCCAUAUCUUCGGACAAGAUUGAGAAGCUGCGUCUCAUAUCCAAUGCACUUGUGGGCAUCUCGGAGCUUAUCAAAAGGCACAAAUCUGCUGCUGCCAAGGGUCAUGGAGAUUAUUUGGACUGUGCAGGCUGGGUUGCUACGUGGGGAUGCUCGACGAGAAAACAUGGUGCCUUUGACGACAUAAGUAAGCCAAAAAUACUGCUAUAUACCUAUCUUAGUUUUCCUCUCUCUAAUUAACUAAUCGUGCCUUGGUCAAUUAAAUGCAAUCCCCUUCUUGUAUAUAUCACCACUAAAUACAACUCUUCUUAUAUAUGCAUAGAUUUCAAUCUGCUAACUUUAGCAGUAGCUUGAUUUAUAACACUCCUCAAUCUCUUGAUUUUGUGCUGCAGCGACAUUGAGUCCUAUGCAAUUCACGGCUUGCACGCCUGGAAUCUUCCCAUUCUCGUCCGUGGCAGGCCCUGCCUUGCAGAUCUAUUCAGUCAGGCUCGUUAAUCUUAACCCGAAUCUGAGUUGGCCACUUGAUGUCUACGGCGUGGUCGCGGCACGGGACGAUUUUGACAACAACCUCAACAUUCUCUUCCGCCGGUCAAGUGCAAACUGCCAAAGAAUUAAGAAAGAGGUUUGUACAAUGUCUAUCUUCUCGUCUAAUUGUUAUAAGAUAAAAGUAUGUUUUUGGUCCUUCAAGUUUCUCAAAAGUAUUAUAUGAAGAUCAUUUGACGUGUGACAAAGGAUUGGUUAUAAUGGUUGCAUAAUGUUUGUAGUUUAACCUGAGUUGAUUGGUUACCUGCAUACCUUGGGAUUGUUUUGUUUAACCAGAUUCUUUUAAGGUUCAAACUAGUCGGUAUCAGCUUUAGGCAAGUUAUGCAGGCCAGGCCGUAUGUAUGUUGAAAUUUUUCUGCCUUAUUUAGCGAGCAUAGAGAAAAUCAGCAAAAACAAAAAUGACAACAAUUAAAGUAGUCUGCCACAUGCUGAGGCUGUCUCUAGAUGAUGGCAGGGCACAUGCACCUGUUAUGUUUAUUUCUGUAUAUCGCACAAGCAAAGCAGCAUGCACAUGGGCAAAGGCCGAGCGAAUCCGGCCGACAUUGGCCACCUGAUUGGGUGGCCGUGUGAUUGACGGAGGGUAGAGAUACCCAAAGGUUGUAAAAUCGACUGUGGAUAUUGACCUGCUGUUUCUUUGGGUGUGAAAGCAGUACGUGCCGGUCAAGUUCAAACCGGUGUAUUAGAGUGGUACAGAUUAGUAGGAUCUGUUUGGGAACUAUUUCUUUGAGAUUCUUUCCGAAUUAUGGCCAUGGUUAGACUUUGUCUAGUUAAACUGAACUGUUAUUUUUGCCUGAUGUUUGUGACUGACGUUGAUGAAUAUGAUGCUUGCAGGACCCAUUUUUGCACUUGAUUGGCCCGUCUCGUGCAAUUGUGGCUGGCGAACCUGUUUUGUUUCAAAUUGACCUGAAAUUGAAGUAUGGAGCACAGUUUGAACAUACAGCAUCGUUCGCUGCCAACCAAAGUUACCGCUCUAUCAAGCGGUGUGACACCAUGCAGAUCCGCAACUCCUGUUGUACAGCAAAGAUAAGACUUGGGCGAGUUGCUCCAGCAAUCCAGGCGACAAUAGUAGGUGUUCGUGUGGUUGAAGGGGAGUGGCCUUUUAAGUAUGGAUGUAACGUUUCUUGCUUGUUUUCUCCUGCUGAUGCAACGGAGGGAUGCGCCGCAGAAGUCGUCUUGCUUGACUGUCAUGCUAAAAAGAUGCGUGCAGGAUCAGAUGGGUAUCUUUCUUUGUCAAGAAAUGUUGUGGCAGUGGGAUUGCAGGGCACACUCCGAGUCGUCACAGGAGCAUACUCAAAGUCCGGACUCAAUAUUGUUCGAAAAUAUCAUGUCGAAUUUCCUAUCCAGCAGUGUCAGACAAAUAGUUGUAGAUGCUCAAUUCACGGCUCCACGUUGGAGAUAGUUGUUGCUUGGUCUCGCCUUGUCAUAGACAAGCAUGAUCAUGUACUCGAUGGUUAUUGAAGGUGUGAGGAGUGGCAGUGGCUUAGGCUUUUACCUCGAUUUGUGAGCUUAGCUUAGGCUUGGUCUUUUUUCCCAGAUAUAUGAUACUAGUUUCACACUUUGGUCUGAUAACUUGGUUACUAAACAUUUUUAAUGUGCAGGUCCAAGCAGGGUGGUCUUAUGGAAAAAAGGUGUAAGAUCUUUUUUUUUUAGAAAAGGAGGAUGACCUCCGGCCUCUGCAUCUGGGCGAUGCAUACGACCACUUUAUUAAUUAUUUUCACAAGACCUUACAAAGUCAUACAACAGUAAGACUAAAGCCGCCGUCUAAGCAACAAACUGUCGCUACACCUAUCCAGUUGAUGAAGGAGCGCAUAUAGCCUGGGCCUAAUACCAAACAUACAUCGCAGUCAAGCCUAACAUCUAGGACACCGUUAAGUGCCACACGUGUGGCACAAUGGACAUCCGCCCACACGUCCCUGUGUGGCAUAUCCAGCAGGCAGCCCACACGACUCUGUGUGGGCGAAUAUUAAAACUGCCCACACGUGUGGCACGAAGAGCACCCUACCACACACACGUUCAGCACCAGCUAAGGGGACACACAGCCCGCACACCUUCAUCACACGAGGCCCUUUUCCCAGUAAAAAAAGGAACAAAAAGCCCACUGACAACAAAUUAAAUGAAAAGGCACAGAUUCUGUUUUCUUUCUUUGACAAAUAAAAGCACAUAUUUUGCUCAGCUACUAAAAAAUGCCAUCAACUUUGAAAAAUAGCAGAAAAAAUUGCCAUCCGAGUUUUUUAACAAUGGCAAAGGUUUAUAAACACAUAUUUAAUCCCCCAAUGAAAUAUGGCAAAUAUGCCAUGACAAAAAAAAUUCAAUAUUGCCAUGUGAGAAAACACGAAAUAGUCAAAAAAAUUCAUGUGAACACAAAAAAUUUGACAGGACAAAAAAAAUAUAAAAAAUGCAAAUGCCAUUUUUAAUUAAAUUACCAUGAAAGUUUAAUUAUAAUUGCCGUGUUUUGAAGGAUAAUUUUGCCAUGUGUUAGAAAAAACACAAAAAAUUGAAAAUCAAGUAUGAACAAAGAGAACUGCCAUGGCAGAUUGCUAUCAAAGAAUUGCCGUGUUUUGUAUGAUGAAUUUAUCGUGUGUGAAAAACACAAAAAGUUGGAAAUUCAAGUAUGAACAAGAAACUUGCCAUGGAAGAUUUGUAUCAAAACUUGCCACGGCGAAAUUCACGUAAACUAAAUUGCCAUGAAAGUUUUUAAUUAAAUUGCCAUGGCAUUUUUAAUUAAAUUUCCAUGAAAGCUUAAUUAAAAUUGUCGUGUUUUGAAUGACAAAUUUGCCACGUGUGAGAAAAAACACUGAAACUUGAAAAUAAAGUAUGAACAAAGAGAGUUGCCAUGGCAGAUUUCUAUCAAGAAUUGCCGUGUUUUGGUAUGAUGAAUUUAUCGUGUGUGAAAAAAGACACAAAAAAGUUGGACAUUCAAGUAUGAACAAGAAACUUGCCAUGUCAGAUUCGUAUCAAGAAUUUGUUGUGUUUCGUAUGAUGAAUUUACCGUGUGUGAAAAAAAAUGAAAAUCAAGUAUGAACAAGAAAAUUGCCAUGGCAGAUUCAUAUCGAAAACUUGUCAUGGCAGAAAAAAUCAAGUAAACUAAAUUUGCCAUGAUUUGAAAACUAAAUUUGCCAUGAUCAAUAAACUAAAUUUGCCAUGCCAUGAUCAAUAAACCAAAUUUGUAUCAAAACUUGGCAUGGCAGAUUUGUAUCAAGAAAUUGCCGUGUUUUGUAUGAUGAAUUUGCCGUGUGUGUAAAAAACAAAAAAAGUUGAAAAUCAAAUGUAUGAACAAGAAAAGUGCCAUGGCAGAUUCGUACCAAAACUUGCCACAGCAAAAUCCAUGAAUUUGCCACUGUCUUGUUCAAAAGAAAAAUGCCAUGUUGCAAAAAAGUGAAGAAUUGCCGUGGUCCCAUUCAAAAAGUUCAAAAUCAAGUUUGAACAAGAAAACUUGCCAUGGCAGAUUCGUAUCAAGAAUUGCCGUGUGUUGCAUGAUGAAUUUACCGUUUGUGAAAAAACAAAAAAAAAGUUGAAAUCAAGUAUGAAGGAGAAACUUGCCAUGGCAAAUUUGUAUCAAGAAUUGACAUGGCAGAUUUGUAUGAUGAAUUUAUCGUGUGUGGAAAAAUAUAAAAAAUUUGAAAAUCAAGCAUUAACAUGAAAACAUGCCAUGCAGAUUUGUAUGGAAACAUGCCAUGGCAGAAUUGUUUCAAAACUUGCGACGAUGAAAAUUCAUGUAAACCAAAUUUGCCAUGAUUUGAAAACUAAAUUUGCCUUAACUAGCAAACUAAAUUUGCCAUGAUUUCUUAAAUAAAUUUGCCUUGUUUGUGAAAGUAAAAUUUGCGGAGGGGAAAAUGAGUGAAAACUGCCAUGGAUGUGUAGUUAUAUUAGCCAUGUCAACAAAAGAUAGAAUUGCCAUUGCAAAUAUAAAAAUAGCAAAAUUUGAGGAACCUGCCAUGAGAGCAGUACAAAAGAAAGCUAAAAAUUGCCAUGUUCGAAAGACAGGAAUGUAAUGGGCUUCAUGAGAUCACAAUGCUCUCAUGGGAAAUGAAACCAUGGUAAAAUGGUUCACUAACACAUGUAUGUUAAGUAAAUUUGCCAUCGGGAUGAAGGUAAAUUUGCCAUGGCAAAAAAAUAGAAAUUUAAAUUUGCCAAUGUCAGUUACUAAAUUUGCCGUGAUCGAUAAACUAAAUUUCUCGUGAUCCGUUAACCAAAUAUGUCGUGGCAAAACUGAAGAACUGAUGUGGCUAACAUUCUAAUUUUCCAUGGUGAGAAAACAUCUUUUAGAAUGGUCUAUGGGAAAAUACAUCUAAAAAAAUCCAUGGCAAAAUUGUUCUAACUAGCUAAUUUUCCAUGGCAAGAAAGGAGCUAUGUGAUGAACUUGCCAUGUGAUCACACUGCACAAACCAAAACAAAACUAGGCAUGGAGGGGGUGGGGGUGGGGGGUUACAAAAUACUAGGCAUCUAUUUUGCCAUGGCAACUAUGAAUUGAACAUGGGCGUCUAUUUUGCCGUGGCAAAAAAGGUGUGAAAUUUGCCAUGGAUCAAAAAGGAAAACUAGAAUUUUCCAUGUUUAUGGUUCAAAUAAUAAAAAUGACAUGGUUAGGAAGAUGUCUUUGCCAUGGUUAGUAAAAUAAAUUUGCCAUGGCAACAACCUUGAAAAGAUCAAACUUGCUUGUCCUCAAACUAAUUUGUAAUUGACAUGGCAACAUCCUUCGGAUGGACAUCGCAAAAGACACAAUGAAUAAGGGCAACACAUGCUUUUAGUUGCCAUGUAAAAAAAACACAUCUAUACAAUUUACUGAUUUUAGUUUCCAUGGCUAGUUUGUUGUGUUUUUGAACAUCUUAUGUUGGCAAGUUUUUGAACAUCUUAACUUGCCAUGGCAAGUUUGCCAUCCUUGUGAACAUCUUAAUUAAACAAUAGCUAACUAUUCUCUUAAGAUUUGCCAUGCUUAAUCUAGUCAUCAUCAACAUACAAAGUGAAGAAAAUGGAAGACAAACACAUUGAUUUUUGUGAAAUGUGGCAUGUUACUUUGCGAAAAAUAGCCAUGAUUUUUUAGAACAUUAUCUCUUAAAUUUCCCGUGAGGUGAAAAGUGAUGUUGCACCAGACUUGGCGUGCGCUAGCUCUGGUUGUGGACAAGGAUGGCGACAUCCUCAUCGGUGCACCAGAGCGGAGCGGAGCGACCGCUGCACCUGCGUGUGUGCAGGUCUGAGGGUGUGCGACAUGGCAAAUUUACAAUUUUCUUGUUUUCAUACAUGAAGGCAAAAUUAGAAAAUAUCUAUGAAUUUCGCAUGGCAAAUUGUGCGUGCAAUUCACAGUCACAAAGGAUAAAAUCUGAAAAAAGCACCUGAGCAUGAGAAGCAUCCAAGAUUCUCAUGUCCUUGCACUGACUCCACCUGAGCACGAAUUUCCCUUGUUGCUGCUUGUGGAGCCGUCCCCGUCCUCUGCUGCUGCUUCCACACCCCGAUGCUACUCCUCCAAAACAUCCUCCACUGAUGUGUUGGUCCUCCUGGUCGCACUGCGACUGCUCCCGGAGCUUGCGUUGCACGAAGCGUGGAGGUUUGGACACGAGGAAGCUGUCCGAGAAGAGUGCGGAGCUCGUGGUGCACGAAGGCGUUGGAGCCGAACGCCGACAUGCCCCAUCCCAGACCACAGCUCUCACAUACCCGCGUCAGCAUCCAGUGCAGUAGCGAGGGCGCCCCUCGUUGUCGACCGCAUCGCGUACCAUCGUCUUCCCGCCGCUGUUCUCCACCAGAGUUGCCGCCGCGCGCUACCCGCGCAACCGCCUCCACUCUAUGUGCGUGCAGGUCCUCGUCGUAGCCUCCUGCCGCGUCGCCGGAGCCGCGCCAACACCCGAGGCCUUAGCACGGGCGGCCCCGUAUUUAAACGCAUCGGCCCCCAUCUCCUUCCCGCCACUCAUCUCCACCGCGGUCUCCGGGAGCCGCACCUCCGCAGCGGUCUCCGAGUAAGCCGCCGGCGCAGCCACCCCGCAUGAGCUCCUCGCCGUGGUGCUCGCACUCCGGGAGCAGCACCUCCGUCGCGGUCUUCGAGAAAGCCACCGUCGCAGCAAUCCCACACGAGCUCCACGCCGUGGUGCUCGCACUCCGCGAGAAGCACCUGCUCGCGCCGAGCUCACGCCGCCGUGGCCCCUGCUCACGCUGGAGCUGCCCCCGCGCUGCCUCUGCUCGCGCCGAUGCGGGCCGACGAUGCAGCUCCAAGCACGGCGCUCUCCCUCCUCCGCUGCAGCAGCUUGAACCCCAGCAGCGGUGCGCGCCUUCCCUCGUCGUCGGCCCAAUCCCCUGUCGGGCGCCGUUCCCCUCCCCCUCCCCUCCUCCGGUGACCCCCCUCUUUCACUCGUGUGGAUGACAAAGAAAGCGAUGAGGAGUUGAUAAGAAGGGGAAAGAGGGUGAAGGCGGUGAGCUAAAAAAAUGCGUUCGGGCGGAUGGCAUAGCGCCUCGCACGUCCGACUCACAACUGGCCUCGUCCGAGCGAGAAAUCAGCGUGCGGCGAACCGCCAAACCUCCACACACCGGCCCUGUCCUACGUGGCACGUGAAAAAUGCCCCAAUGUGUCAAGAUUCGUGCAAAUUUAACUGGACGGUGAUCCAUGCAUGUGGGCGAGUUGGAAUAUUGCCACACGUGUGGGCAUUAGUGUUUUCAAACAUCUAUGACCUGAGACCCCAACCUAACCACUUGUUAGGUCUGGGACACACACUGGUCCGGCGUGCUCUCAGAGGCCGCCGCCGCCAACUGCCACGGCUCCAUCUUCAGAACUGUACUGAUGCAUCAAUCUUGCUAGGUCCAGCUAUCGUCGACGCCACCACGGCGCCCAACAGCACCUCCUCCUUGCGCGGAAAUAGCUGUACACGUCGCGAUCGCCACUGAUACACCUCAGCGCCAUGCUGCCACGUACCACCAGCCGACACAGCUUGAAGCCCUUGGUGGAUCUGUCGUGCGUAGCACCUGCCGACCAGGCAUGACCAAGCGUAGCACCUGUCGGUCAGGAAUGACUUGACAUCUCCACCGAAGCUCCGUGCAAGACGAAGCCGCUCCACCUCCUGCCUCUGACUUCCAGCGCUGCUCCACAGAACGACGCUCCCAAGAGAGAAACGACACCGCAGUGCCGCCAUCGUCCGGUCUGGAACACCAGAUCCUAGAGUUUCCCCCGGAGCAAUACGAGUGUGUUAUGUUUCUUGAAUUGCAGACUCUGAAUUUGCAUGUGUAAGGUUAUGGUACUGCAUGGUCGGUUGGAUCUGGAACACUCGACCCUCAUAUGGCAGCAACAUAUUUGAUUAUGUUCAGUUUUAGACUUGUUCUGCGGUUUUGGAUUUCUGAAACUGCUAGUUGACUGGAUAGAUGUUAGAGUAUGAUUGAUUCGAUGCCAAAAGUUGCCAAUGCCAAUAUUUGGCAAAUGACAAAUGUUGGCUAGUGAUUGGUUGGCUACCAACUUUUCUUCUCAACCUCACAAAAAGUUGCCAACAUUUGGCAACUUUUGAUUUUGCCAAACGUUGACUUGCCAAAUACGCUCUUAGUCUUCUAGGUAGAAGAACCACUUGCCUUGUGAAACGGCCAGAUCAUGGUUGAAUAUAUGUUUCUCCCCUGUCAUGCUAUGUUUAUUUUUGUAUAUCGCACAAGCAAUGCGGCCAAGGCUGAGCGAAUCCGGCUGACAUUGGCCGCCUGAUUGGGUGGCUGUGUGAUCGACGGAAGUAUGCAAAGGUUGUAAAAUCUGAAUAUUGACCUGCUGUUUCUCUUUGGGUGUGGAAGCAGUGGAUUCCGGUUGUAAAUCCAAAUUCAUAACCGGUGUAUUAUAGUGGUAGAGAUUAGUAGGAUCAACCAACCCAGCCGCCGCCUCCUAACCCUAAGCCGCCGCCGCCGCCUCGGUCCCCCUCCUCUUUCCCGUCCGGCGGCCUCGUCGGCGGCAAGAGGAGUGGGGACCCGUCUGUCUUGUUUUAUUUUUCUUAGGUUUUUGUUUCUCCGGCGGCAUCGACGAGGUGGUGGCGACGAUGGCGUGUUGGAAUAAAGUCUCUCCGGUCUCUCCCUACCUCGACGACGUCCGAUUCGGCAUCGGGAAGGGCCUGUGAGAGUUUGUGUCCCCAGAUCGGUUGGUUCCCUUCAGAUCUUGGCAGUUUGUGUAUCUUUCAAGGAGUACUUUUCGCUGGCGUUUGGUGUGGUGACCACGACAUCUUCUUCUGUGUUGUUCUGUGGCUUAACCCAGUUUCUCCAACCCUCUGAUCUGGUGGUGGUGGAUUGCAAGCUUGUUCUGUUUGGGGUGAUGCUCCAGCCGAUGCUGCUUCAACAACUUUUAGAUCUCGUCUCAAGGGGCGAGUGGCUAUUGCGGUCUUCAGAGCCUUGUAUGGCGAGGGCAUUUGCAGGUUUUGCUUUUUUUUGCUGUUGGUUCAGUGCAAUUUUCAAUCACUAGCGGGCAGCGUACAAUCAGAGGAAGAAGAAGACUAGUAUGUUUUUUAUUGUAAUUUUAUUUUUUUACUGGUCGUUCUACGUCCAGUUGUCUAUCCUUUGUACUGGCCUUUGUUUUCCUCAAUGAUAAUCAGAUUUAAGAUGUCCUUUGGGUGUCUUUAUUCAAAAAAAAAAAGAUUAGGAGGAUCUGUUUGGGAACUAUUUCUUUCAGUUUCUGGCCAAAUUAUAGCCAUGUAAUCUCUGUUAGACUAUGUCUAGUUCGAAAACUGUUAUUUUGCCUGAUGUGUGUGACUGACGUUGAGGAACAUGAUGCUCACAGGACCCUUUCUUGCACUUGAUUGGCCCGUCUCGUGCAAUUGUGGCUGGCAAACCUGUAUUGUUUCAAAUUGACCUGAAAUUGAAGAAUGGAGCACAGUUUGAACAUACAGCUUCGUUCACUGCCAACCAAAGUUACCGCUCUAUCGAGCGGUGUGACACCAUGCAGAUCCGCAGCAAUCCAGGCGACAAUAGUAGGUGUUCGUGUGGUUGAAGGGGAGUGGCCUUUUAAGUAUGGAUGUAACGUUUCUUGCUUGUUUUCUCCUGCCGAUGCAACUGAGGGAUCCGCGGAAGAAGUCGUCUUGCUUGACUGCCGCGCUAAAAGGAUGCGUGCAGGAUCAGAUGGCUAUCUUUCUUUGUCAAGAAAUGUUGUGUCAGUGGCGUUGCAGGGCACACUUCGAGUUGUCACAGGAGCAUACUCAAAGUCCGGCCUCAGUAUUGUUCGAAAAUAUCACAUCGAAUUUCCUAUCCAGCAGUCUCAGACAGAUAGUUGUAGAUGCUCAGUUGACGGCCCCACAUUGGAGAUAGUGAUUGCUUGGUCUCGCCUUGUCAUGGAGAAGCAUGAUCCUGCACAGCAGCGCGCACAUAAGAAGCAUCAACACCAAUGUGUUUGGUAAGCUCAUGCUUCACGGGGUCCCGUGCAAUACUGAUAGCACCAGUGCUGUCUGACAGGAGGGUGGUAGGUGUAGUAACAGAAACACCAAAAUCCUCCAGUAACCAUCGUAACCAAGUCACCUCAGCCGUAAGAAGAGCCAUAGCUCGCAACUCGGCCUCUGCACUCGAACGAGAAACUGCAAUCUGUUUCUUCGUCUUCCAGGAAAUGAGGGAACCACCAAGAAAGACACAGUAGGCAGAAAGUGAACGGCGAUCCGUAGGAUCACUAGCCCACGUAGCAUCCGAAUAGGCCUGGAGCUGUAACGAGCUGGAACGGGGGAAAAAGAGACGAUGAGAGAUCGUGCCACGAAGAUAUCGUAGAACGCGAAGAAGGUGACUAUAGUGAACUGAAGUGGGAGCAGAAACAAACUGACUCAGAAUAUGGACAGGAUAAGAGAUAUCCGGACGAGUGACAGCAAGAUACACAAGACUCCCAACAAGAUGACGAUAACGUGUCGGAUCAGACAAGGGCUCACCAUCAGAAGCACGAAGAUGAACAUUGAGCUCCAUAGGAGUCUCAGCAGUGCGCUCAUCACUAAGAGCCGCACGAGUAAGAAGGCCCUGGAUAUACUUUUCUUGGGAAAUGAAAAAGCCAGCAGAGGUGGAGGAAACCUCAAUCCCAAAAAAGUAACGAAGAGGACCAAGAUCAGACAUAAGGAACUGCUCAUUAAGACGGGCCUUGACAAAGGCAAUAUACUCAGAAUCGUCGCCAGUGAUGAUCAUGUCAUCAACAUAUAGAAGAAGAAGAGUGCGACCACGAGCAGAAAGGUGGACAAACAACGCUGGAUCAUGAUCACUGGGUGAAAAACCAGCAGCAGUGACCACAGAGGCAAACCGCUCAAACCAAGCGCGAGGGGCUUGCUUAAGGCCAUAGAGAGAGCGACGAAGACGACAAACCAUGCCAUCGGGAACUGAAUACCCAGGUGGUGGCUGCAUAUAAACCUCCUCAUGCAACUCACCAUUAAGAAAAGCAUUUUUAACAUCAAGUUGUGACACGGACCAGUGGCGAACAGAGGCCACGGCGAGAAGUGUGCGGACAGUGGUCAUAUGAGCCACAGGAGCAAAUGUCUCAUCAUAAUCACGACCAUGCUCCUGCUGAAAGCCGCGAGCCACAAGACGAGCUUUAUAACGCUCGAGAGAACCAUCAGAGCGAGUCUUAAUCUUAUAGACCCACUUACAAGUGAUGGGACGAACACGGGGAGGAAGAGAAACCAGAUCCCAUGUGCCGUUACGCUCAAGAGCAGCAAUCUCCUCUGCCAUCGCAAACUGCCAUUCAGGAUGAAUAAUAGCAUCACGAUAAGAGGUAGGCUCAAGUACAACUGAAAGGCCAUAUUGGCUAGGAGAAUAGCGGUCAGGAGGAGGGCAAGGUCGAGCCCGAAGACCAUAAGUCGGCUGGGACGAGGAAGACGGUGCACCAGAAGUAGAUGGCACGUCAGUAGAUUCAUCCAUAAGACGUCGACGACGGGUAUAAUGAAAAGGAAAAGUGGGAUGGGAAGGAACCACCGGAGGUGACGGAGAUGGAGAAGACAUCGGUGAUGAAGGUGGAGUGUCAUGCAAUAAGGAAGGAGAAGAAACGAUAGGAGAAGAUGGUGUUGGAUCUGCAAUAGGGGGACGAGAAGGAGGAGUAGGAAUAUGAGGCACAGAGGGGGGUGUAUCAGGAAACGUGAGAAAAGAGAUAUCCUCUACUGAAAAGGUCGAAGAGGAUGGUCGUGGGUAGAAUGGACGAGACUCAUCAAAAGUCACAUCCCUAGAAAUACGCAUCCGUCGACCGAUAGGAUCCCAACAUCGAUAACCCUUAUGUUCAUCACUGUAGCCCAGAAAAACACACUCGACAGACUGAGCGGUUAGUUUGGUGCGUUCUCGGGGGGGAAGGAGAACAUAACAAACACAACCAAACAACCGAAGAGCAGAAUAAUCAGGAGAAUGAUCAGAAAGACGCUCUAGAGGAAUACCUACCUGUAGAGCAGAUGAGGGUUGAAUGUUUAUGAGAUAUGUGGCAGUGGAGACAGCCUCAGCCCAGAAAUGAGGUGGAAGAGAGGCGGAAAUCAUCAUCGCACGAGCUGUCUCAAGAAGGUGACGAUGCUUGCGCUCGGCCACGCCAUUCUGAGCGUGAGCACCGGGACAGGAGAACUGAGCAAGAGUACCCUGCUCAGCAAGAAAACCACGCAACAUUUUGGAGAUAUACUCGCCAGCAGAAUCAGCACGAAACACGCGAAUAGGUGUAGAGAACUGAGUGUGGACCAUGGCGGCAAAACGCUUAUAAAUAGAGAGAACCUCACUACAAGAAGACAUGAAGUAAAGCCAAGUGUAGCAAGAGAAAUCAUCUAUAAAAAUAAUAUAGUAGCGAUGGCCCCCUUUAGAAGAGAAGGGAGCCGGACCCCACACAUCUGAAUGUACUAAAUCAAAAGGGCGCUGAGACACUGACUCGCUAGUAGGAUAAGGUAACUGAACUUGUUUACCAAGCCUACAACCCUGACACUGCAAGGAGACAUCUCCUGAGACAGGCCCCAGAAGACCACGACGAACUAAAGACGAUAGUCGAGAACCACAAAGGUGACCAAGUCGAUGAUGCCACUGCUGGAAGGAGCUGGUAGCUGAAGCGACGAAGGCAGAUGGACUGGCGAGUGUGGUGGUAGCGAAAGGAACAUUAAGCCAGUCCAACUCCCAAAGCCCCUGAGAAUCAUGGCGGCGCGGGCCAGCCCCAACCAGAGCCUUCGUGUGGCGAUCCUGGAUAGUGCAAGAAUCAACGUCAAGAAUGACACGACAACCAGAAUCAGUAAGCUGACCCGCAGAAAAUAGGUUCAUGGUCAGGCGAGGCACAUGAGAAACAUCUGGAACAUAAAAGGAAGAAGUGGCAAGAGUGCCUCGACUCGCAACAGGAAGAGGAGUACCAUCAGCAGUAAGAACAUUAAUAGGAAAAUCGAGAGAUCUACGAGAGGACAAGAUAGAAGAAUCGGAGGACAUAUGAAAUGAAGCUCCAAAAUCCAGAACCCAUGGGGAUGUACCUGACUGUGUAGACAAUGGUCGCUCAGCACUAGAAGCUCCAGUCACAGAGCCUGCAGUACCCGUUGAAGAACCUGAAGCAGCAAGUAGACGCUUGAGCUUCACAACAUCUUGCUCAGUCAAGGAGAUAGUAGACAGCGUCGAGGAAGAAGCACGAGUCCCAAAAGAAGAAUUGCGCUCCCUAUUACGCAUAUCACGCUUCUUCUUGAAGCAAUCAGACUCGGGGUGACCAUCCCUGUUGUAGUAGUCACAAUGAGUACGAGGACGAGAGCGGCCUUCACGAGAGCGGGCCUCAUUACCCGGAGGAGUGGGUAGUAGUGGUGGAGCACUGGAGCGAGAAGACACUGGUGGAGUAGCAGCUCGAGCACCGAGCACAGAGGGAACCUGAAGCAAACCAGCACCACGAAGGCGAGUCUCCUCAGCACGAAGCUCGGAAAGCACCUCAGAAAUAGGAACACGACCACGAGCAAACAACUGAGCACGUCGAGGCUCAAACUCCCCACGGAGCCGUGACAAGAACUCAUAGACGCGCUGAAACUCCAAGUCUGACCUCAUAGUCUGGCAACACGGGCAAGUGCCACAAACAGUAGUGCGAAGGGAGUCAAGCUGGCGCCAGAUAGCAGAACUCUGAGUGUAGAACUCAUCAAUAGUGGAGUCUCCCUGCUGAAGAGCAUGCUCCUGACGGACCAUAGACAAGUAGAGAGCAUCACCAGAGGGUUGAUACCGCUGACGAAGAUGAGCCCACAUCUCAAAGACAGUACCGAGGCCUAUAAACUCAGAAGCAAACUGAGGCAAAACACUGGAAGUGAGAACAGUCACAGCACGAGCAUCAUCGUCACACCACUGAGUGUAAGCAGCCAGAUCGUCACGAUAAACAGAAAGAGCAUUUGAAUAAUCCAAGACCUCCUGGUCAUAAGCGGCAGCUGCAUCAUCAGCAACAACCGUGGCUGCAGCCCUAUCAGCAUCAGAAGCAUCUGCGUCAGGAGCCAGUGGCGUCGGCGGUGGGGUAGGAGCCACAGGAGGCACUGGGCGCGGAGGACAGGGGACCUCACCGGAAAGAACACCCCACAGACGAAUGCCACGCAUGUGAAUGCGCAUAAAGGCAACGAACUCGGCAUAGUUAGCCCCAUCGAAUAUCACCGGGCAGCGCGGGAUGGCAACAUAGCCAGAUGAUGCCAAAGACAUGGUGCUCCUUUUCUGUCACAAAGACUCAACUAGCCAAGGUGAGAGCAGCCAGAACCAGCAGCAGAUCAAUCAGACAAAACCAAAAGGCAAACCGACUGAGGCAGGACAAACACGACGGCCCAUAGCAGCCCAAGGCAGCGAUCGAUCUGGACUUAAACAGCGGCAGUUUCACACGCACGCAUGCGAGCGCCCGUAGAAGCCAGCAGCGACUCGGAGAGGGCGGGGCCGUACGAGCGGCCGUCAGUGGCGGCCGGCGAACGGGGCCGGAGGAGCGCCGGGCUGCGACCGGAAGUGCAGACUCCGAUGGGCGGCGGCCGGAAGAGCAGCCGCCGAUGGGCGGCGGCGGCGGGCGGCGGCCGGAAGACGAGCCGAGCGGCGGCCGGACGAGCGGGCGACGGCCGGAAGACGAGCCGAGCGGCGGCCGGACAAGAUCCAGCGGCAGUUGACAGAGAAAGCCGGCGGCGGACAUCAGGUUGGUGGUGGCUGGAGACUCGAAUCAGGAAGAGGAUCCGAUCGAUCCGACCUACAGCAGCGGAAGGAGCGGCCUGGAACGGGCACGGCAGGCUGUAUGUGCUGCGGCAGCAGAGGAGGAGGGAGGCAGCAGCGAUGUGGAACAGCACAGCCAGGAUGUGGAUCGGAAGGGUAAGUUGCGAUACCCAGAGAAAAAAUUCCCUAACCUAUGCUCAUGAUACCAUGUUGAUGUUAGGAGAAUAGCAACAUAUAUUAUUAGGAGGCCAAUGCCAACAUAUAUACACAUACAUGAGGAUGCCAAAAGGCUACAAAAGGAUGCCAAAAGACUAGAAUACAAAAGACCAAAAGACAUCACUUAAUAUAACUCUAACAGACGGUUCCUGAAGGUGUGUGGAGUCGUAGUGCUUAGGCUUUUAUCUUGAUUUUUGAGCUUAGCUUAGGCUUAGUAUUUUUAUUCAGAUAUGAUAUUAGUUUCCCACUUUUGUCUCAUAACUUAUUACUAAACAUUUAUAAUGUGCAGGUUGAAGCGGGGUGAUUUAAUGGAGAAAAGGUUAAAGAGCUCAUGUUAUUCAUUUGGUAAGUCUGAACGAAUAGCUAAUUUGUUGAACUCGUGGUCUCUGAUUUUGUAAGCAAGAUAAGUUUGAACCAGUAGCAUGCUUAGUAGGAUUACUGAGUCUCAUGCCGGUGGUCUCAGUUUUAACGAGCUGGUCCAUUUUCUUCCAAUUCUUACUAACGAGCUGGUCCAUUUUCUUCCGAUUCUUACCCUUCUGUUCGUUAAUUCAGAACAGCGCAUGGAUUUGAUUCUAAGCAAUUUCUGUCUACAACACACAUGACUGACACUGCCACGUAUAAAUAGGAGAUGAAGUUUUAGAUGAACAUCAACCCUCAUUCAGUCUAAAAUACACGUACCAAAUCAGUCAUGUUAAGCCAUACUAGCAAAUUCCAGCAUCAAAUUAUUUGUCCAGUCAGGAAUUAGGGGGUCAUUACAGCACAAAUAACACACGCACCUUCACAUGCAAGUAUUUUUUACUCUAAAAUAUUAGUUUCAGGAUACCAUUGCUGGGAAAUUUUAAUAAACAACUCAGGGUGCGUUUGGAUGUAAGGCAAGGGGCAGCUCUACCCUAGCUCGGCAAGGUUUGCCAUUUGGUAUUUAAAAUAAAACUAGCUUCUGAAAGGUUUGGCCAGGGGUAUUUAAAAUAACAACGACUCAAUGUCAACUAGAGGAUUAAUGUUGAAGUCUAUAUGAAUCGUUCUCCAAAGCAAUUUGGUAAGUGGGUAUUCAAGGAAUAAAUGUUGUAUUGUUUCAUCAUGAUCAAAAAAACAACAACGUGAACUACCUACCCAUCACCUCUUGAUUAAGUUGUCCUUGGUGAGUAUUACUUGCUUGUGGACGAACCACAUAAAUUUUUUAAUACACCAAGGAACCUUAAUCUUCCAAAUAUGCAACAAUCUUGAGAUUGAGCCAGAAUUAAUAAAAUCAAUAUAGAAAGAUUUCACUGUAAAUACCUCAUUUUUAGCUAAUUUACAUUGCAUCGAAUCCGGCUGGUCGAAGACUUGAACAUCUAUCAAUCUCUGAACCAAGUGCAUCCGAGCAGUCCAUCGCUCACCAGUUAACGCACGUCUGAACUGAAUAUUCAAGGGAAUCGUUUGAAAAAUUGUGCCUACGUAAUCCUCCUUACGUUGCACAAUGUAAUAAAGGGUGGGAUAUUGUACGGCCAGGGGUGUCUCUCCUAACCACGUAUCCUCCCAAAAUCUUGUUGACAUCCCAUUGCCAACCAAGAAUUUGACCCUACGAAAGAACAAGACCUUCGUUCUCAUGAGCUCUUUCCAGAAUGGCGAGUCAGUUGGUCUCAUGGUAACCUAGACGAGCAUUUUUGACUGUAAAUACUUAUUGCGCAAAAUAUGUGCCCACAUGCCCUCCGGCUUUGUCUCUAACCUGUAGAGUCAUUUGCUCAUACGGCAUUUAUUCUUGAUUUCUAAGUUCCCAAUCGUGGGAGGUUAAAUCUCUAAUGAGCCAUUAUCAAGAUAACUAGCCUUGCUUCUAGCAGCUCUUUUUUUUUUAAAACAUUUUAUUUUUUAUUUUUUUGAAACAUUUGCUUCUAGCAGCUCUUGCCAGAGCAGGCUAGAUAAUUCUAGCCCAGCUAAUUCUAGCCAAACACACCCUCAGUUGCCCAGGUUGGAAUUACGCCCAACAAUUUAGAUAUAUUAAAACUGAGCACCCUCCCAGCUCUCUCAGACCAUUAGCAUUUCUAGCCGUUAGAUCGCCACUUUUAGUCGUUUUCGGCCGUCGGAUCGCUGUUAGUGGCACCUAAAUCUCGUACGCACGCGCUAACUCGCGCGUCAGGCCGCGCUGGGCUUUUUGGGCCGCUGCUCCGGUUGCUUUUUUCGCUGUCUCACGUUCAAUUGGGCCUACUGGCCUAUUGGGCCUGGCCUUCUCUACCGCCCAACGCAGCGCGCACAGGUGAAACGCCACGCACGAGCCCUAAACCAGGUUCGCAACCUGCUCUGUUCCAAGUGCGCUGCCUGACAUUGGCCUCGGAGUGCAUUGGCGGUUGGCGCGCCGACGCGAGCGGCGCGACCGGAUGGGGCACGAACCCUAGCGGCGCGGUCGGAUGGGUAAUGGACCCUAGCGGCGCGGCCGGAUGGGGCACGGGCGCCAGCGGCGGAGCCGGUUGGAGUGCGGCGGACAACAGGCAUGAGAUUCAAUCGCGAACGAUGAUUAAUCGGGCCAUUAAUGCCAAUCGAUGCUCCGGGAAGGUCAGUUCCAUCGCUAUUCAUGCCAAUUGAUUGAUUGCGAGGUUAAUCCUGUAAUUGAGAGGUUAAUCGUAUCUCUGUAUAUUCACCCCAGCCUAUAAAAUCCCAAACUUGCAGCUGGUCCUUUCCUACUCUGCUCAUUUUCGCAAACCACAGUCCAAAAGCAAGGUGAUGGGUGUUGCUUAGGUUCCAGCUCUGUUUGGUUUAAGGUGAUGUGCUUGUUCCAAUUCUCAGUUAUUGUCUAUCUAAAUAUGUACUGACAUGUCCUCCGUCUAAUUCAUAGUUUCAAAUGAUUACAGCUUCUCUCCAGGUUGGAAUUCUAGCGACGUACUGCUUGGUAUCUUUGGUUCUUCCAGUUGAUCCAAUGGCUAAUGGACAAUCCAGACUGGCCGCUGCUCCUUUCCCACUCUCCUCACUCUUGCAAACCAAUCUCCAGCAGCGAUGGGUGAUGUUCAGGUCUUCAGUUCGUUCCAAUUGUCUCUGUUUGAUGCACCUCCUCUUCCCCCAACCUUCACUUUUAGAAUUUGUUUUGUUUACUGAUACUGUUCUUUGUGCUCACAAAAAAUGCAGGUGUUCUGUUGGAUUAGAAAGUUUAGGAAUUAACCAUUUGGAAGGUGAUCCACUGGUUUCUAUGUUUCCAAUCUAUACAGUACCUCUUGCUGCUCCCCUGAGCAAUUAUUUGACCAUGCUUUGUACUCCGGUCCAAUGUUAUCCCAUGUACAGAUUUGUUCUUUGUCUAAUUUAUAGAUUCUAAUGCUUGGAUGUUCGAAAUAAGGUCGAAUUCAAGCUAUGUACUGCUGGUUUCCUUUCUUUCCUCCACGGCGACCUGAUACGGCCCAUACGGGCUGCAAGGAGGCUCCAGAGUUACCACCAUUGGUCCUCCCUGCCAUUUGCUGAAUUAUGCUUCAUCGCAUAUUAGCCAGAAUUCGUGGCUGAUGUUCUAUAAUCGAUCAAGCCACUUCCCAGUGCUUAUGUAAUCUUUGUACUGAUAGGAACUAGGAAUUUGGAAACACAAAUCAGUACUACUAAUUUACCGUGGAGCCGUGACAACAUCGUGCUUUGUUUAUUCACUUUUAAAAGUUAAACUUAAACUGGCAAAGUGGUUACUGUUUUAUUUUAUCCCUGUUAGUCAAAGCUCAUGUAAUGUGACUUGCCAAGUUUCUGUUGAAUGUAUUGUUUAAAAAGAAAGAUCCGAAGGAAUGAUUAUUUGGCAUCAAAUUAAGUACUGUCCUGCAUGAACUUUGUCAUGUUUACCCUCUUCUAAAUUUUUUAUAUGCUUUACCAACUAUAUCUCCCGAUGUUAUAAGUAUUACCUUGUAGGCUGAUACUAUUACAGUGAAGACAUAGAAAAUGAAUUAUAGAAGUUAUUGAGCAAGGAGUGAGGCAGGUCAAUCUCUCUUGUCCUGUUUACUACAAUGUUAUAGUGAAUGUUCAGGAGUUUACCACAAAUACAUGUUUAAGUGAAGAGAAAGCAUCCUACCAGCGAUUAUCUCCCAGUCUUUAGGUUGACCAAUUUCAUACAAGAACCCUUUGUACUUAUCUUAUUUAUGAGUAUUAUGACACUUCGAUGACAUGAUUUUCCAGUGUAAUUUUCGGAUUUUGCAGAAAGAAACACCUAACAUCCAGCAACUGACAGCAUCAUAAGCAUUGUUUCCCCUUACCAAUAACGGUGCCAUGUAAAGGGACUAGCUACACCUACUGAUUAAUAAUACAAAGAUUAAGAUUCCCUGGGAGUUGGGAUUGCAUCUUUAUUUUGCGUCCACUUCAGUUCUUUGCUUUGAUAUGGCAGGAUUGGUCAUCUGAUAACCCUAAAAGGUCCUCUUUCUUAUCAAAACGAACAAUACUCCAAUAGAAAAAAAUUGACCAGCUGAUAGAUAAAUAUAUUUUAUUUUUCUGAAUGUUGUAUUUAUCGACUCUAGCAUGGAAGAACAAAGUACGAACAGUGUGUUUGGAAUUUCAGUGAAGCCAUUGUUCUGUUCUUUUUGGAUAGUUUGAUUUAUUUAGGUUCUGUUCUCGUUUAUAUAAUUUGAUUUUUCACUCGGUGACAAUGUUAAUUGUAAGUAAACUGAACCAUUUGAAUCUAUUUUAUGAUGCAACCAUUUAUAUUCUCAAUUAAUUUCUUUGUUAUUUACUCAAGAUGGGCAUAAUCAAAUUAGGCAGGCUUCUAUAGUAUUAUACUCUGUAGUACGAUAAAAUGGGAAUCUUGCAAACAUAAAGCCAUCUUAACAUCCUUGUUUUGUGUCUAUCUUUAUGAGCUAUCAUAUAAUCCAACCAUCAAAAUAGACGGGCGCAGCAACGCGCGCCAUCAAUGAUCUAGUUCAGCUUACAAGAUAACAAAGAACCCUUUGCAAUGCACAACUGGAGGGAAUUCGAUUCCUACUGUCUAACUACUUGGAGACUAUUCUUUGUAAAACUCAAGCCCCUGCCCCCAGUGUCAAUCAGCCGCCUUCUGUACAAUUGUUUCUCCAGUGACCCCUACACUUGCACCGAGUAGGUUUGCAUGGUUGCUUCAUAUCUCCCCAGGCAGGUAGUUCACUUGUUUUUUU
rnacentral:lncRNA from 1 species